rnacentral:lncRNA from 1 species
AGGCUCAUCUGACACUAUUAGAUAAAAUGGAGUUGGGAUAAAAAUAUAUAAGGAUAUACUUCUGCGUUCUCCGGUGGGAUAGAAACCGACUCAUCGCGAUAUGCGGAACGCAAUAUUACGUAUGAAAACAAAUAAGAUAUUUUCCCAUCAUACUUUCUCACCGCACGUAACGCAAUCUCUCCGCAAUCCCAAGCGAAGCUCUAGUCAAGUUGUAGAGUUUAGAAAAGUGCUUUCGUCAUCCAACUUUCUGGAAUGUUUUUGAUUAACUAUUUUUCUUCGUCAUUGUCAAAUAUUUCUUUUUCUUUUUUAUGGAGAAUCAUCAGUAUUAAUUUAUUCAUUUCCUCUACCUAGCGAUCGAAUCUCUCUCUGUAACUAGAAUGUGAGAAUUUGAAUAAUUUGAGUUUAAACUUUGUAGAAUAUUCAUUUUCUGUACAUAAACAAUAUUUAUAUCCCACAACCAACAUUGGCCGCACAUCUUAUUAAGUGAUUGACUAUUUGUGUGUCAGUUGUAACAAUAGCAGAGAAUUCAAUGUAUCAAACUUCUCAUAACGAAUAACUAAAUUACGUUAGGUUCUCAGGUAGACAUUCAUGAUGAAGCAGAUCAAACAUUAAAACUAUUGAAUGACGAUUGCAUAUAUAUGUUUAAUUAGGGUAUCAUGUUAAAGACGAGAAACAAGCGACAGCAAUACUGAUGCUGGUGCUAUCUUGUUUUGUGUGCUUAUUGGUGAUUUUCUUUCCCUUUGCUAUAUUGUUUCUAUCAAAGUUGGAAGAUUGAUAUUUUUAAUUCGGCUGAUGGAACUCUAGCUUGAAUGUUGAUGUACUGCAUAAGUUUUCUUCCUGGUUGGGUUCGAUUGUGCUUGAUUGUUUCUUCGCCGUCAUAACUUGUAUUCAGGCUCACUGGAUGAUUGGAUCGUAGGUUUCUUGAUACCCUAGUGUAUGUUUUUUUGUUUUUUUUUUCUUUUUACUACUCAGAAAAGAAUUUUAGCUUCUGAUAAGUUUCAUUUUAUUCAAGCAAAUCACAAAUUCCUUGAAAACUAAAAGCACAUAUUGAUAACUGGCUGUACUUGGGCAAAUUAUUUGCCAUACAAUUAUCUCUAGGCUACCCUUAAAUUUCUUUCUUUAAAGCUUGAUUGGUGAAUUGGUGAUGUGUGAUCCGACAUGUAAAUUGCGAUUACCAAUUCCUUUACUUAAGUAUUAAUAAGAAUCUUGUGGUUAUUUGCUGUUUCUGAUGCUGAGUUUGCUAUUGAACCUGUUAGAUAUUGGCUAAUUGAAAUUGGUAUUAAGAUAAUAGAUGGUUUGUGACUUUGCAGAAUGAUUUCAACUCUAAGAUAACAGAGAUGGUUUGGAGUUUCUGCUGUUGGCUUUAUUUUGUGUAGGUUGUUCGAAGAUAUCUCAGUACCAUGAAUUCUCCUUGGUUAAAGUGUGUUUAUUGUUUAUAUGCAGAAAAGUGAAAAAAGAACCCCCUUAAUUUUAAGGGCUUCUUGGUCAUGGAAGUUAUUAGUUAGAAUGAAGUUGGAGGUAACAACCUAUUUGUUGUCCUCCUCUCACAGGUUUUUUUUUUUUUUUUUAAAGAAGAAACCCGGGUAUAUGAACGUAAUUGUUUUAACCUAAUCAAAACAUUAAAAGAUACACAAGAUUCAGAGGCUCCUCAUCAACCAACAAAUAAUGAUUAAGGUGUCAUGUUUUCUUAAUGUGUGUUAUAUGUACCUGAGCAUGAACUACAUUAGGCACCCGUGUUUUAGCAUUCAUGUCAUUAUCGUGGUUACUAAUUAGUAAAUAGUUUACACGCACACACACAUUUCAUGGGAAACACUUUGUCUGCUUCUAGAACAAGUUUUUGAUCAGAAAUAGUACUUUUGCAAAACAUUGAAUUUCCGAAGGGCACAUUCAGAUUUCUCACAAAGAUAUGUAUAUGUAAACAGAUAAUUUGCAGAGAAAAACAUAUAUAAGUGUCCCAUACAUAGGCUCUUUUUUUUUUUUUUUUAUUCUGGAGGAGAGAUGAUAUGCUGAUAAAUUUGGUGAUAUAGUAUAGAAAGGAAGUUCACUGGAUGGUCUCAAGCUGUAAUUUUGAUGUGUCACAAGAUCGAGUUGCUGCAAUGUUGCUUUUGUUGUGUUAGCUCACCAACUUUUUUGGAAAGGAAUGCAACAAAUUAGUUACAUACUGCAUCAUUUUUGACUACUAUCUACUUUGUUAACUUAAACCAUAUGCAUAUGUGUUGAAUAUUUAUAGAUAGUCAUUGUACCUUUCUUUGUUUACUUGUUGCAGCAGAGGGCUCAACAACUUCACCAGCCUAUAUACUUGUUCAACAGAACCUAUUCAACAGAAGAGAGUAAGUAAGUCACUCUAUUUAAAAAGCACUUUUCUGAUUGACAUUGCCUGAUUCUUAAACCUGAACUUCAAUUUUAAAGUUUUAUUUUUAUAGUAGUCUGAAUCCAGUAUGUCAAAUCUUUGUCCACUGCUUGUGAUUCUGACUAAUUACACUGCAGAUUGCCAAAUUUCCUGUAAUGUUGAUCAUGUAUUACAUUUAUAUUCAGAAAUUUUUGGUGGGCUACAAACAUAUGCUUGAUUUUCUAUAGGGGCAGUUGUCCAAAAGUCAAAUAUCAAUAGGUAGGUUUACCGAAAGAAAAAGGAUUAGGACAAAUUUGGUUGCUUAACUGUUUCUUUCUACAACUUAAUUUACUGUACCUGAUGUGACUAGAGAAAAAGCUAUUUUCUUAUGAAAAUUUGCAUAGAAAACUUAAGUCCAUGGUACAGAUCUCUAAUGUGGCAUAGAGGACUCAACAUAAUACACAAUUUUUGCUGAAAAGAAAAUCACUAAAAGAGAUUUUUUAAAAAAAAAUUUAUUCAGCGGGGAAUAGGAGGUAAAUGGGAUGAAUAUAUUGGAUUAUUAAUAGCGAAAAUCGAUUUCAUACUUACAACCGAAACAUCAUUUGGGAUUCAUGUUCUUUGUAUGGUUUUUUUUUUCGACUUGCUUCUUUUUGUGUGAUUGAGAUGCUUUUUACAAACCAGCAUAUGCUAUAGUAUUUACUUGGUGGAGAAAUGUAAAUUAAUUACAAAGAUGUAAGCAUGGCUAAUAAUUUUAAGGUUAAAAUCUAAUUAUUCAGCAGUAGAGUUUGCAAAAUGUUGUGAGAUUUGUUUGUAAGUAAAGUAUUUUCUUUUGGAGAUAUCGUCACAUCUAAGAUCACCGAACAUCAUAAUCAGAUACCAAUUAAUUAAAUAUCAGUGGUUGGUAUAGACCGUAUAUAGGUGUGACUUUAUUUAUUUCUCAACAAUAAUAGUUAACAACUAACUACACUUUAUUGAUUGAAUAAUCUGAGCUUUGUUUAUAUUUCUUUUCAUUGCUUUAAUCUUAGUGGAGAUUUUAGUUGCCCAUUAAAAAUUUACCCCACAAAAAAAAGAAGAAACAGAUGUGGUUCUUUUUUUUUAUUUUCUUGGUUGAAAAGGAUGUGACAACCACCUUUUUUCUAGAAAUAAGAUCCAAAAGUUGUAUGGGCCCAAAUGUUAGGUUCUAUAACUUAGUGAAUUUGAAUUAAAAUAUUUGUUUUGGAUUGAAUUUAGUUCAUAUACUUGAAUCCAACUAUAUCAAUUAUGUUAGCAACUUUAUCAUUGCUCGAUUCAAUUGAAUUCAAUUUCUUAUAAUGAUUUAUUCUCUUUUGUAUUUUGUCGACAUAACAAUAAUAUAAAAAAGUCGAAUCCGUUUAAAAAAUAAAAAAAAAAAAAAUUAACCCCCACUCUGGUCGACCGCCACGUGGACAGUCGCCGGCACUACGACAUUGGACUCGACGACGACCUGGUUGCCGGACGUGUUCCGCAGCGCGUGGUACGGGAACGCCGAGUCGGCGAGCAACGAGUACUGCACGUGCCCGAUCCGGUCGGGAAACAGCAGCACCGGCGAGAAAUCGGCGGUCCACGUGCUCGCAUUCCCGGCCACCGACGCCUUUGCCACCGUCGACCGCACCGUCAUUCCGUCCGCCACGUUCCGGUCCACAAUCACCUGCUCGACGGUGGUGAACCCACCGUCCAAUCUUACAAUGUCGACACCCGCUCCGGUGCCGCUGAACAUGUUGUCGACGAUGUUGACGCCCUUCACCACACCGUUGAUCGACUUGAGCACGACGUUGGCGUCGCCUAGAAAGAAUGAGCUCGAUAUAUGGACCAAGACCGGGUCCUCCGACACGAUCCCGGUAUAAUCCAAAUAGCAGUUUGUGAUUCGGGUUUGGCUCAGACCAGGCGUUUUCAAAUAGAUCCCGGUCCCGCCCCAUCCGGUUGCCUUAUUGUAACAAUGCACCCCAGUAAGGGUGUUGGCCUCGCCACUUACUAGGAUUCCGGUGGCCGCCGAGAACACGACCACGUCGGUCACCGCAUUGUCGUUGCCCAUCAACUUGAUCCCCGUGCCGGUGAAGUUUUUCUCGCCCGGGUCGUUGCCGACGGUGAUGUGUUGCCCUAGGAAGCUGUUUCUGAUGAAGGUCUCGUGCCCGUUCUGAACCCAGAUGCCGUCGGUGGUGAAAUGGGUGAUGUAGCAGUUAUCGAUCGUCGUGCGGAUCGCGUUGACGACCGCGACUCCACCACCUCGGAAAUUGGAGUCUAGCAUGAGGCCGCUCAGGGUGAUGAACUCGUAAAGGGAGCUCGACGAAGAUCCGGACGCCCAGAGCUCGAUCAGGUAACGGUCGGUCGGGAAGUUAUCUGAAGCCCGUAGCGAGCCGCUAUGAAUCUAGUUUAAAGACGCACGUGUCAAUACUAACAUUAUGCAAUGCAUUUUGAAUUACGUGUAUAAAUCAAUUAAAAUCCUUCGUAUUACGCAUGUCAGUACAUCGGUGUACCUUAAAAUUGCCGCCUCCGGAGGCCGGUAAACUAAGCGGGGACGUGAGGACGUAGACGCCGCCGUCGAGGUCGACCUCGGCGCCGCCCAGAUCGGGGAUUCCGCUCAGCAGCGUUCUGCUCGUCGGGGGUCGGAACGCGUCGGCGAUGGCCCUCGCGAUCGCGGAGGUGGAGUCGGCGACGCCCGUCGGGUCGGCGCCGUAUUCGGUCACGUGGUACACACGUGACCCGGAAGCUUCCAAAUUCCCCUGCAACCGUCCAAUCCGUCUCGCAUCAGAAAAAUUUAACUUUUUUUCCAGUAAGGGGCACGCAUUCCGUGUAAUUCCGUGCAUACAAAAUUUUCAUACAUAAUAGUAAAAGUUCAAAUUUUAUGUAACAUCGCAAACUAAAAUGUUUAAGUAAAAAGUAUACGGAUACAUUCUACUCUUCAUCAAUUACCAACUACAAGGAGAAAAAAAGAGAGAUAACUGUUUGGCUCGACGAAGGCGGUUUCGCUGCGGCGAAGGAGGCGGCGAGGCUCUCCAUCCGCCGCGCCGCGAUAUUACGCCGCCGCUGAGCGCUGUCGCCGAUAGCCGAAGCAGCAGCAGCAGCAGCAGCAGCAUGAUCUGCUGCUGCAGCAACCAACAUCACCAGCAGGGCCAAAAGCCCAGCAACAAUUAGCACCUUAAUCCCCACCAUGAUAACACGUAUUGAUUCUCAAAUUCUCCUCUUUUUUAAUAAAAUCCCCCACCCCUGCACCUCUCCUUCAUCUCUAUCUACAUAGCCUUUUGUGUACUCUACACUUUCUAAGAGCCAAUCUAAGAGAAGGACAUAUGGAGGAAACAGGGAGAGAGUGAGUUUAUAUAUUUAUAUAUAAAACAUACGAUAUGAUGUGAUAACUAUAUGGACAUGUUAGUGAAUAGAAUAUUGCAAAGAGUGCAUGAGAGGAGAAAGGGUCAAAAAAUUAAGCUCUAAUUUUUUUUUUUUUUUUUUUGGGUUUCCAAUGUGAGAAGUUAAAGAUGUCCCAAGAUUCAAGGAAAAUUGUGGGGCCCUCUUUUGGUUUGAAAUGGGUCACUGUACCAAAGGAGGGGGUUUUGUGGAAAAUUAAUUUGGGUGGGGUGUUGGAUGCAACUUAGUUAUAAAUGCAAUGGGUGGGAGGAGUGGAAGCAAUGUGAAAGGAAUUAAUGAUGUACAUUGAUUGAGAAAGUUGCUUUGGCUUGUGGGAAUUAAUUCCUUCGCUUCGUUACCCUCCCUUCUUUUCUUUCCUCUCCUUGGGAGGCUUUUUGUUGUUGUUGUUGAUCUUUUCAUGUCCUUAAAUUUCUUUAUGUUUUAGGUGAAUAUACAUGACUUGGUAAAGCGAAGAGACCCCACCUAACAAAUAAGAUAAACGUUUUAUUUGUACAUCGAUAUACAACUUUGAAUAUUCUUACAUCUUCUCGAUCCUAAGAUUCACAAAAACUAAAUAAUAUUAGGAGAAGGCGAUGAAUCUUUUGAUGAGCAAGAUAUAUAAUAUGCACCCAGUUUAGAAAUGUACAGAUAAUAUUGCUCAACAAAUAAACCACUCCGAACAAUUUUUGAAUUUUUCUCUUUCAAAAAAGUGUUACCAUGUGCUUUUCUUUUCCUUUUAUUUACCUUUUCUUUCCUUCACUUUUUAUCUAAGACCACGGUAGGUGGUCCAAAGGAACACAAUAUCCUAUGCCCAUUAAUUGAUGCCAUAUUCUCUCUCUCUUUGCCCUUUUGCUGCAGGGCUCCAAAUGCUCUCUCUUUUUUCCUUGCUCUUUCUUUUUCAUUGCACACUAUGAUUUGGAGAGCAAUAAGUGAGAACUGAGUGGACCAAAUUCAAUGAUGCAUUGCACUCAAAAGUGGGCCUGAUUAAAUAAAACCAAGUUAGGAUCAGGCUUUCAAAACUAACCCAUUAUUUAUUUCUAUUCCUUAUAAUAAUUGUGUUAGAACACCCUCUUUGCAUGCUUCGAGGCUAGACUGGACUUUUUUCGAAAAUAAUCCUGUGAAAGUUCGUAUUUGCCAAACUAAUUCCGUAAAAUUUUUAUUUGUAAAACUAACCCUCCUUUCGCCACGUGGGCGCCACGUCAGGAAUUCCUCAAAAAGGCGGUGAAUCGUUCACCGUCUUUAUAAUUUUUGUUGUAAAAGCGGUGAAUGGUUCACCGUCUUUAGAAGACGGUAAACCAUUCACCGUCUUUAGUGCAAAAUUCUCCUUUCCGCCCUUUUUCCUUUCCGCCCUCUCAAGUCCGUCUUUUCUGUGCCCUCGAGAAGAUGGUGAACGAUUCACCGUCUUAUCAAGGACACCAUAUUAUGGACUUGGAAAGAUUUGCGCAGUGUAGGAAUUUGUACUAAAGACGGUGAAUGGUUCACCGUCUUAUGAAGACGGUGAACCAUUCACCGCCUUCACAACAAAUAUCAAAGACGGUGAACGAUUCACCGUCUUUUUAAGGAGUCCCUGACGUGGCACCUACGUGGCGAGAGGAGGGUUAGUUUCACAAAUAAAAAUUUUACAGAAUUAGUUUGGCAAAUACAAAAUUUUACAGAAUUAUUUUCGAAAAAAAUCCGCUAGACUUGUGACAGUGUAGAAUUCCUCCUCAGCAACAAAAUCUUUUUAGCGUAUCAGUGUCAAAAUGAAUCCACACCCUUCACUAUAAAAAAAAAGGGAAAAUUAUACUUACAAAGCUGUAAUAAAUGCAAUGAGUUUUAAUAAGUCAAGAGGACCACGUGAAAGGGUAGUACAAGCUUCCUCAAUUACUCAUGCUUUGAAAAUAUUAAACUAGUGCGUGCUUAACGAAAAAUUCUAGAAUGCAACGGAUAUAACGGUGGCGUGGCGUAAUAAAUCAAUCAAAGUUUUUUUUUUUAAAAUAUAUGUUCCAUCAUGAUUAUAAAAAAAUAUUUUUAUUAUACUUUUAUUUAAAAAGAAGAAAAAUAAUUGACUUAUUAUUAAUAAUGUGGUACAAGUGUGAUAGUGUAGAAUUUUUCGUGCUUAACACCCAUUCUAUCAUUCUAUGUCAAACCAUGCAAGGGUAAGAAAUAUAUCAAGGACUCCUUCUCAAUUAGGUGCUUACUUAACUUAGAUUUUUAAAACAACUUUUUCUACUUUAUAAAAUAAUAAUCAAAUGUUUCGUAAACAAAAUUCUUAAAUUUUAUGACGACAAUACAAUGAAAAAGAAGGUCCCAAAAGUGGAAAUUUCAACUCCAAUUGCUAGCUUUUACUUUCAAUGAGAAACUGUCACUUAAUUAGAAAUUAGUGUUGCUCGAACAGUGAAGCAAUUAGAUAUUGAACUUAGGACUUCAGGUACCAAUUAUUUAACUCUUUGCCACCUAUGCUAGUAAAGGUCGGUAGCAUUCAAAAAUAUUAAGAUCUCUUGUGAUUAUCGCUAUACUCCUAGCUGAAUAAUUAAUAUAAUUAUUCAGGCUAAUUUUGGUUUAUUGUGCGUCAAAUUAUUCUUUUGGAAAAUAGGGGAUUUAAAGAUGUUUUUAUCAACGUUUAUAAUAUCACAAUCAAUUUAAAUACCGCCAUUUUAUGACAAAUAUAUUCACAUAUAUAUAUAUAUAUAUAUAUAUAUAUAUAUAUAUUAUAUAUAUCAUAUAUAUAGGUUAUAUACUAUAUAUAUUCUCUUUCGUUAUUUUUUCAGUGAGUGUAUGUAAUGUAGUUCAUCUAAUAUCCAUGUUGCAUUAGAUAUUAAGAGCAACAUAGUUAAUUGAACUUAAAACUUUGAGAUAACAAUAUACAUAUAGGACUCUUGCCAACAAAAUAUCACUCUUGGGAAACAACCAAACCACUCACAUCAAUGACCAACUUAAGGGCCCCUCAAGUUUGUUCAAUACCUUUGCAUAGGUGCCUCCCUAUGUGAGAUUCAUUGCGAGUAAUACUACGUAUACAUCUUAAAAUUUUAGGUUUAAAGUUUACACUUCAAAAUUUUUAUGACCUUUAUUAAUUUACUUAUCUAAUUUUUUUUUUUUUAUUUUUUACGAAAACAUAAAAAAUUUAUUAGCUUUUGGAUCAAAGAGUGUAUAUUAUAUAGGGCUUUUUUUUCAAUUUAGUCCCCCGGCAAAUUUUUAUUUUAAAAAUAAUCCUAUCAAAAUUUAAUUUGCAAAAAUGGUCAUGCUCCUGCCACGCAGGCGUCACGUCAACCCCACGCGGGUAGGACUGGGGCAGUGUGUUAAGUUGAACACGGUAAACCAUUCACAGUGUUUCAUAUUUAUAUUCCUUUUCUUCUCUUUUAGGGAUGUCAACGGGUCGGGUUUGGAUCGGGUUUUUAAAAACCUGAAAUCGAAUCCGAAAAUCAAAUUAAAAUCCGAACACGAAUCCGAGCCCGGCGGGUUUUAAAAAUCUAUACCCAUAUCCAUAUAUUAAAGUUAUAUGAGUAUGGAUUUUUAAAACCUGUCGAAUUCGGAUUCGGGUUCGGUUUUUAAUUUGAUUUUCGGAUUCGGAUUUGGAUUUUUAAAAACCCGAUCAAAAUCCGACCCGUUGACAUCCCUAAAAAAGAAGAUAAUGAAUAUAAAUAUGAAACACGUUUGAACACGGUGAAUGGUUUACCGUGUUCAACUUAACAUACUGGCCCUAAUCCUGCUCGCAUGGCGCUGACGUGGCAUCUGCGUGGCAUGAUCAGAACCAUUUUUGUAAAUUAAAUUUUGACAGAGCUAUUUUUAAAAUAAAUUUUUUUUUAGAGUACAAUUUGCAAAAAAAAUUCUAUUAUAUAGGACAAUGUACAUAGCAUCUUUCAUUUAUUGUUUACGACUAUAAGGAAUGUCACUGUACAUAGCAUCUGUCAUUUAUUGUUGCGUCGGUGCAAUUAUUGUACCAUUUUUUUUCAUUUAUGGCUAUUUAGCCAAUGAGCAUAAAACAAUUGCUUGUUACAAAACUGUGUUGUUGAUUGAUGGACCUUGAUCUGACCCAUGCACAUAGAAGGGCAAAGGAGUGGGGCUAUUUUGCUUUAUUAGUUUAUAUAAGAUAACCAAAUUUCCCUACAAAUCAUAUUACAUUUUUUCAAAAAAUUGCUAGGGAUAAGCAUCUUUGACAUAUUUCUUCAAAAAAAAAAAAAAAAUCACAAAAACAGUUUAAAACCAUCUAGUAUAUUACUUGAAAGUAGGUAAAUACAUUUACUGCUACUUUUAUUCUGGCUCCAAUCAAAUAUAUUUUUCUUUUCUGAUCUUCAGGAAAGUAUCAUCUCAGUAUAGGGGUGUACAUUUUACAUCUUUUCAAUUUUCAUCGAAGAACUUAAAUGACCCUUGAAUCCUAGCAGCUACCGUAACUCCCAUCAACUACAAAUUUUAGAUUGAUAAUAUGUGAUUUCAUGAAUUAUUAUGCUACUAUGCUAUCGAUAGUAUCAAACGAUUGAUACUAUCGAAUUUUCAAUCGUUAGAUGAAAGAAUAUGUGGUUGGAAUGAUAAUGGUCCCCCAGGGUUGAGUGAGUGGUUGAUUAAAUAGUAUAAUCUAACGGGUGGAAAUAAUCAAAGGAUGGAUCUAACGAUAGAAAACUCGAUAGUACAAAGAAUUUAGUACUAUCAAUAGUAUAGCAGCGGGACUCUCAUUUCAUUUGCAAUGAUACAUAAUUUUGUGCCAUACUACUCGAAGACUCCAAACUUAUAUGAGCCGGCCCAUGGGCCAAAUCUGCACUUUUUAGGAACAGUGUAUUGGGCCGGGCCAUGUGUCUGCAUGUGCGUAAGCUCGAAAACCCCUAAAAUCUGCAGGUAAAUUUACUGAAGCUUAAUACAAUACAGCUAUAUUAUACCAGGAAGAUUAUAAAAACUCUUCUUCCACAUCAUUUCAUUGUACAAAUUGUGCCGGUUAUUUGGCUUAUUCAUUGUCUUAAAUUUAACAAAAUAUAAAAACCCCCCAAAAAAGGGAAAAAGAGUGAAAAAAAAAGAGAAAAUGUCACUAUAUGCAUGGCCCUUUUGGACAAAUCAUAUGUUAUCUGCAACGGAGUAUUAGGCCCAACAAAUUAGGCCUGGUGAGAACCAUCACAUUAUAGGCCUCUAUUGGGCUUCAUGUGGGCCCAUGAUCCACCCCCGAAUCGAUCUCCGUCCCAAACGCAACAUAGACCCCUUAAAACCCUUCUCUCUCUCUCUUUCUCUCUCUCUCUCUCUCUCUCUCUCGCUCCCGCCCCCCGUACGCCAUCGCCAUGAGAGGAGCUCUUCGAGCUCUGAGGCUCGCGACCUCCUCCUCCGCGCCCCUCUCUCGCCCUCGCCCCCGUUCCCUCCUCCCCUCUCGCCUCCUCGCCGCCGCAGCCGCCGACCCCCAACCCGAUCUCCCGCCCUCCGCCGCCGCCGACGACGACGACGCCGACGCCCCCUCCGCCGACUUCGAUAGCGCCGAGUUCUCCCUCCCCGACGACUCUGGCGCUAGCUCCCGCCGAGCUCCCGUGUGGGACGAGGCCUAUCGGGUUCGGGCCGACAGGGUUCUGUUCGGGGAGAGGAAUCGCGCGAAGAAGCUGUUGGAGGAGGAGGAGGAGAGGGAGAGGGCGACGAGGCUCGCGAGGGCGCUGCUCGAGGCGGCGCUGGAGCCGCCCGAUGACGCGGAGGAGGAGGGGGAUAUGGUGGUGAAGGAGGAGGAUCAGAAGUCGCUCUCCGUCGGAAUCAUCGGAGCUCCGAAUGCCGGGAAAUCCUCUCUCACGAAUUUCAUGGUAAAUUUGAUUCCUUUAUAAGGUCUUGUGAUAGAGUUAAAUUUAUUGGACUUUGUUUGUUAUUGUGUGCAUUUUAUCGAGCACGUAGUGAAUAAAUUGGCUCUACUUUUUCCCCUUUUUGGGGGUCUAUUUGAGAAGUUAAUUGCAGUAUUGUUCAAAUGAUACUAAAGUAGAAAGAUUAAGCUAAGAUUCUUUAUUGUAUAUGUAUAAUUUUGUGGAGAUUCAUAUAAUUUUCUGUGUUUUGUUUGUGUUGUCAUGAAGCAGUUGUUCUUCGUUACACAUCAUGUAUGGUGGGUAGCAUUAUUUCAUUUCAUUCAUUAACAUGUUCUUUCGAGUUUAUUUACGUUUGAUUGGACUUCGCAGCUUCAGUUUGAUUGUGGAGUUCAUUUAGAAACCCUCCCCAAGUUUGUAGUUCACAUAAAGUAUCACUUAUUUGGAAUUUGUAAUGCAUAUUCAAUUUCUGAGCUCAAGCAACUUCGACGUUUCUCCAAUUGCUUGCGGCCACAAAAUUCUUUCUGCACCCACAGUGGCUUUGGAUUUCAUUUUAAAUUUAUUGUUGCCUACCAUGUAAUUAUAUUUACUUUCUUCUAAAAGUUUGACUUACAUAUGUUGGUACUGCCUUUUUUCCUGAUAUUGUUUCCAUCACAUUCUUCUUGUUCUUUGUCUGUUAUUGCAGGUUGGAACAAAAGUUGCUGCUGUCUCAAGGAAAACUAAUACAACUACUCGCGAAGUUUUAGGAGUAAUGACGAAAGGGGCAACACAAAUUGUAUGGAUUCUUGUCUUGCUUCUUUAUGCUUCUGAUAUUCAUGCCACCUAGUUCCACUUGUUGAUAAAACGACUUCUCAUAUAUAUAUUUCUAAACUGAUGCGGAAGUAGUAUAGAAAUGAUAGAAUAUAUGUGUAUAUUCAAAACACAGAGAGAGACGCGCAUAUAUGUGACUUCACUUUCUUGACGUAGGUCUCUUUCUGUUUAUAAACAAAUAAAUAAAUAAAUCCAUUUAUUAAACUUUAAUUUGGGGUCUCUAUGCAAUCGGAAGGGUUUGGACUUCGGACUUAUUCAUGGAUAAUAGAAAAGUGCAGAAAAGAGAUGUAGAAGAGAAAGCAUGUGUAGUGUGAGCAUAUUUGUUUGCAUCUUUCCUAUAAUAAUGUUUCAAAGAACUGCUCUAUUGAAUAUGGCUUGGUUUGAAGCAUCUCAUCUUUUUUUAUGUUUUGCUCUUGUAGUUUGGUGAACUAAUAGCCUUUUCGACAGUGUUUCUUUGAUACCCCAGGUCUCAUGAUAGGGCAUCACGGGUACCCAUACAGGACAGAUGUUAGAGUUCGCGUAGAAAGUGCUUGGAGCUCAAUCGACCUAUAUGAUCUGCUUAUAGUCAUUUUUGAUGUCCAUAGGCAUCUCACCACGUAAGCUAUCAACUUAGCUUCUACUUCUCAUGCAUGUCUCGGUGAACGGCCAGUGGUUGUUAGACGUCCAUCUUAUCUUCUGGUAAUAUAGCUGUUGCUAGAUUUGAUAAUUACAAACAUAGUCACUGUAGUUUGACCUUGAUUUCCAUUUUGCCCUAAAGCUGACCCUGAUUUCAAUUUCGCGCUCAAAGUUUCAAUUUAACAAAGGAAAGCUUAAAAAUGAUGCUGACCUGUCACCAAUUUUAGAUGGUAGAAUAAUAGGAUUUAAUUAUUAAGCAGAAAAAAUUUUAGGGAUCAAACUGUUAAGUUGAAAUUAUGAGUAUGAAAUCGAGAUUGAGUUCACACUCCCAGGAGUAAAUUUGUACUCAACCCUAUAUGAUUGUUGAAAUUCUGCUAACUUAGUUUCCUAUACAUAUAGGUCUGACACAAGGGUGACAAAGUUAAUUAAACGACUGGGUGAGGAGGCAAACCCUAAACAAAAGCGCGUUUUAUGCAUGAACAAGGUGGAUCUAAUAGAAGAUAAAAAGGACUUGCUGAAAGUUGCAAAAGAAUUUGAAGAUCUUCCUGGAUAUGAAAGGUACGUAAUCGCUUACUAUGAACUGGUUUCCAUGCUUAAGUUUGUUAUUAGUUAUUCUCAUUUCUCUCUUUGAGACUCUUAGGUAUUUCAUGAUAUCUGGACUAAAAGGUUCAGGUGUGAAAGACCUCGUACAGUAUCUAAUGGACCAGGUAUGCCAGCUUCUCUAAGAAAAAUUUGUGUUUAUUUGUUCUACUUCAUCAUGAAGAAAAUCGAAUUUUGUGUUCUGUGUUGUAUGAAAUAGGCUUUCUGUUUCUUUCUUUUUUUACGUUUACUGUAUAGGCAGUCAAAAGACCUUGGGAUGAGGAGCCAAGCACCAUGACCGAAGAGAUACAAAAAAACAUAGCUUUAGAGGUUGUCCGCGAAAAGAUGCUAGACUAUAUUCAUCAGGUGCUACUUUGUUAAAUUUUACCAAAGAACUGUUGUUUCUUUCCUCAUGGCAGAAGUUAAUCCAAUAUACCAUCUCUAUCAGGAAAUUCCAUACGUGAUUGAGCAUCGAUUAAUGGACUGGAAGGAACUAAGGGAUGGUUCUCUGAGGGUGGAGCAACACUUCAUUACACCAAAACCAAGCCAGAGGCAGAUUCUUAUUGGAAAGAAUGGCUCUAAGAUAGGGUAUUACUUCUUUCAGUUAACUGCUCAUGUAAUACGAAACUACUAGCAUCUCUCUGAAUUUACUGUCAACGUGUGUAUGCUGCCUAGGGCGUUUGUCCGGUAUCUAGUCUCUGUGGUGUGCUCGUGUAUGCAUGUUCUUUUUUUUUUUUUAAUUGGACUUGUAUCGUAUGAUGCUGAUUGCCGCAUUAAUGGAACAAUUUUGUUUUUCUGGCGUACUUACCUUUGUUUAGGAGAAUAGGCAUUGAGGCCAACCAAGAAUUGAGGUCCAUAUUCAAGAAAGAGGUGCAUCUCAUUCUGCGAGUUCGAGUUGCUAAGAAGAAGGGUGCUUGAGUUGACGGUGGACAUUUCACAUGUUGCAGCUGAUUUCCAUGUAAGUACACAACAUCUUGUUUCCACUGUUCGGUUGUUCUUUCUAGUAAAUCUUUCGUAAUGCUCAAUAAGAUAUGCAUAUGCAAUUUAUAGUUUCAUAAGUAUACAGAGGAAUCCUCGGAUCAUUAUAAAAUCUCAUCUUGCAACUGACAAUGAUCAACGAUUCUUUUGGCCCUGCUGAAGCUACAAUGACUUCUCGAUGCAACAUAAACGGAAGUUUCAAUUCAUAGCUUAUUUUAGCUUUCCAUCACAUUUUGACCUAUCAACUCAUUCAUUAAACCUCCCCUAUGGUUUCUUCCCCUCAAUCUGACCUGGAAGUACCACUAAUUAAAAAUAUUGGAGCUAGAAAGAAUAAAAUAUUGAAGCUAGUUGCAUAGAUGGGACGACAAACCCAUGAGUAGAACCCCGAGGUGAUCUUGCUGAAGAAUGUAGUAUAAUAAGAUGAAAAUAACACUGAUUGAGUUUGAAAAUUCUUGUUCAGACCCAUAUACGAAUUAUAAACAGUUGUGUUAUUUCAGGGCGAUAUUGAAGUUGCAUUACUGACAAUGGGUUUUAACUUGGGUCAUUCAUGAAAGAACACGGCUUGAUACAUGAGACCUCUUAUUCUUGAUCCCUAUAUAUUGGAGGCACCAAAAGGAUUGGCUUCAAAGUUACACUCGCAAUCAACGGUGCUCCGGUGCAAUUUCGGGCUCGCCAAGUGUGCAGGAACGGUGCUUCAUAUUCGGCUGAAGAUUACAAGUUGUGCAAUUGUUUUCUAUUUUUUCUUUUAUACAACAUGUUGUAAAUUGUAUCGGUUCUCUUUGGAGAUUCUGCCAUUUGUUUGUUGUUUUUCCUUUACCUAGUUUCGCUAUGGAGGAAUAGCUAGGUGCAGUGACAGGAACAUAUGAAUACUAAUAAUGUUGUAUCAGGUCUUUUUGAAGCCUUUUACUAAUUUCGUUGUGCACAACUCAAAAGAGCCGUAAUACUCAAAAAAGGUCUAAUUACACUUGAGGCCUCAUCUCUGCAUUUGCCUUUCUUUUUUUGUUUUUCCUCUUGUUUUUUCAGUCAAAACUUCUCGUUAAACUUGUGGUAAUAAGAUGAUUUUAAACUUUGUACAUCAACAGUAAUCAAGUUUCUUUUAUCGGGGUAAAAUAAACAGAAACAGCAAAUUAAGAAUUUCCAAUAGUUCUCGAGUUUAAAUUAAAAAUGCUUCAUUUCUCUUUUUCUAGGAUAUUUCUUGUUCAGAACAAAAAAAUGUCAACCAAUCGCUUACAAUAUAAAGCUGGUUAAAAGAGGUGAGUUACUAAGAAUCAAGGAAGAAGAACGCAAAAGAAAAAAAGAAAAGAAAAGAAAAAACAGAUAGAUUGCUAUCAUACACCACACCAGCAGGACUUGGAAUUUCCACAAAAGUUGAGAUAUAAUUUCCCCAAGAAGGAACAGAAAAUAAAAGUAUUGGAGCUGACAAAAAAGAAAAAGAAACGAAAAGAAAAGAAAAAAGCAGCAGAAGCAAAUUAUCUUAUUAUAAAAUGAAAAGAAAUGUUUCACUAAGAAGCUAUUCUCUGAGAAAAAGGCUUUGCUAAACAUCAGCGCACACAGGAGGAAUUUGAAAUUUUAUGACUAAAUAAAACAGACACUUCCAUGGUGGUAAACAAAUCGAUGCUUCCAAAAGAACCAUGAACUUAACAAAUGGUCAUUAGCUUAUUCUAACUAAUGAACCAGAACCUCGAAUGUUCUUACAUCAUAAUACCCCCAUUUUUCUUUCUAAUAUUACAGUAGCUUCUUCACAUAGCAUGCAGUAUUUUCCCAUAAACAUCUAACCUAGAGAACUGAAAUAUGUAUCUCAAGAAAUUACUACUACAUGGAAGAACCGCAAAUAGAAAGAUGUUAAAUUAAAUGAUGAUAAUUUAUUCCCCCACAAAAAAAGGGGAGUGUACAUAAAUAUCCUUCACUUUAUACACCUCAAUGAACUAAUGAGGAAUUCGAAUAAAAUCACCACUGGUACAUCACCUAGACAUAGCAACUGAUUUAGGAGGGGAAAGAGACCGAACCUCGGGCGCAGAGCUCGGAAACAGCACAUUGAGCUUAUGCAUCAAGAUGUCAGCUUUCGACGGUAUCUCAUUCAGCAAGAACUGCUGCACAAUGGGUUUCUUGAACCACUCGAGAACUGAAUCCCCUGGCGCCCUUAAGACAACCUUGCUCACCUCAAAUGGCGAUUCUACCGACUCUAGAACCUGCGCCACAACUAUUUUAAGUGUCGGGCCUGUCACUAACUUAAUUCGUCGAGGCACGACUCCGUAGUACAGCAUCCGCUUCCUAAAUCUAUGCAGAGUGUGGACAACAGAUACCAGCGCCGCCCCCACCGACAAGUUCCUUACGUCCAAAGACCACGCGAUGUGCUGAUCGAAAACAAUGGCUUUUGGGAACAGCUUGUUCUCAUAAGCAACUUUCCACACACACCUCGCACGGUUCGUCUGGCCCAUGAGCACGAGAUAGUUCAAGAGCACAUUCACAAAGUACCGAGCCGCGCUCUCCUCUAGUUCGUAAUCAAUCCCUUGAAAGAAUUCUCUCACAAAUGAUAAGACGGGCUUCUUUCGCUGCUCAGGCCCUGUGAACAGCCCGCACAUGAACUCGUGGGCCUUGUGCUUCGACGCACUCAAAAUAUCCAUUAUGACUCUUUCAUUCUUCUCAUCUUGGCACCUUAUCAAAUGGGCGAGAACCGAUGUGUACAGUAUCAGAUCCACUUUUGCUGCUGACCCAACAUAGGUCUCGAGCAAUGGUUUUGCCGACUCGUAAAGCCCGGUUUUCAUGCAAGAUUCAAACAACUGCCUUAUUAUGAAGUUGUUAGUCCUUAUUCCGGCCGAACCCAUGAAACGAAGCCACCUCAAUGCAUGCUCGGUCGACCCCUCUUUAAUAUAAAUCAUCAGCAUAUCGCUCGCGCUCACCUCUACCGCAAAACCAACAGCCUUCAUCUCAAGCAGGAUCUUUGCAGCCAAAUCCAAGAGCUUUUUAUUUGCAAGAACCGUCAAAAGUGACGUGAAUGUACUCAAACCAGGGCGAACACCUGCAUUGGUCAUAGAAUUGUAAAGCCGCAUUGCCUCAUCCACUCGGCCUGCAGCUGAGUGCAUCUCUAUAAGGCAAGAAUAAGUUGAAGGAGUAGGGAAAAACCCGGCCUUUUCCAUGUCAUUAAAGAGCGACGCCGCUACAUCCAACCUUCCCGACUUUGCAUUCGCCUCUACCAUCACGGUAUAAAGAUUGAAAUUUGGGCGAAACCCGAUGCUUCUCAUCUCAUCCCAAAGCUUCAUACCAGCAUCCAACUUCCCAGCCUUCACCAAAGCCUCCACAAUCGAGACAUUCAUAGCAUUCGACGGCUUAUACCCUGAACUCUGCAUCUCUCUAUACAGGCCCAUCGCAGCAUCGAGCCGCCCGGCCUUGCCCAUCGAGUCAACUAGGGCAGAGUAGACCGUAAACGCCGGCCGGUUCUUCUGCUUCAUUUCGUCGAACAGGUGGAGUGCCGCUUCUAAACGGCCGGAUUUGGCGAGGGCGGGCACCAUCAACUCGUAGGUGGUCGAAUCGAGGGAGCAGGCACUACCUUUCAUGGAUUCGUAGAUCUCGAAGGCCUUGUAGGGGAGGCCCUUGGUGAGGAAGAGGGUGAUGAGGGAGUUGAAGGUGAGGGUUUCAAAGCUGGCGAAGCCGAGGUCGCGGAGCUUCUUGAAGCAGCAGUAGGAGAGCUCGAGGAGGGCGGCGUGGGAUAGGGUUUGGAGGGCGAGGUUGAGGGAGGGGGCGAAGGAGGCGAGGAGCAGGGGGUCGGCGGCGGCGAGGUCGAGCAUGUCGUCGAAGAGGGAGACGACGUCGUCGGCGUGUUCGGAGGGGGAGGGGGAGGAGGCGAGGCGGCGGAGGACUAGGGCGUAGACGGAGGGGUCGGGGGGGAGAACCAGGGUUGGCGACGCGCCCAGCGGAAGAGGAGAGGGCGGGGACGGGUCGGGAGGGAGAUGGGGAGGGAGGAGAGGGAGAGGGAGAGGAGGGAGGGGUCGGGGGAAUGGGAGGGAGUCGAGGAGGAGGUCGAGGAGGUCCCAGCGGUGGCGGAGGGCGAGGAGGCGAGAGCGCCGCGGCGCGGCGGCGCGGGGGAGGGGGCGGCGACGGCGCCCGGAGAGAACGUGCGAGUCGAGCCCCGGGGCGGCGGGGCGGGCGCCGGGGCCCGAGGAGAGCACGGCGCCGGACUCGUCCAGAUACUCGAUCUCCUCCGUCCACUCGCCGGCGCCGGAGGAGUCGCCGUAGGAGGAGAAGGGUUUAGGGUUUAGGGUUUUAUUAGGACAGGAGGAAAAAAGGGGGAUUGGGAGAGGGGUUCGGGAGAGUUUGAGGUAUCGUAGGCGGAGGAUCAUCGUAUUGAGCUUUUGGUGAGAGGGAAGAGAGAGCGAGGGGUUUUAGAGUGACGAAGAGAUACGCGCUCUGAAUUAAGAUUUAGGACGUAGUUAAGAGUAGAAUGGAGGGAUCGACUUGUAUGUCUCACUAGACUCGAGCAAAUGUGGUCCGACCCAUUUAACGCACCCGAAACUUUUUAUACAUUGAGUCAGGUCUAAUCCGGUUCUCUGGUUCAGGAUCGGGGAUUAUAGGCGUGUUUGGUUCAACGAUCGAAGCUCUAAACGCAAUAGAUCAGCGACUCCGACCCUAUGUAGAUCUCUGAAUUCGAACUGCAAUUUAGUAGCAACUUUUGUUGUAGUUGUGAGUUCCACUUCCCACUUUUCCCCAUACACACCUCAUCUUCGGCUCGUAUGUUCCUUUAGCCGAAUCAACAUAAUUCAGAUUUUGAUUCUGUUAUUAUUAAUACCUGCUUGAUCCAAUAUGGGCGAAUUAUUUUAGAUAGAUAUUGGGCUUUUUUUUUGGGCUGGAGAAGAAGUUAGCUUCGGUUGGAUCUCCUAUCGGUUCUAAACUCCACUGCUAUUUCAUCUGGAAUAACUUUAAAACAGACAAGCUAGUUUUGUGAACACUCGAAUGGAUACUUGGUAAUUGUUAUUGCGUAGAAUUAAUUUUCCAUAAUGAACUAGAGAAAAGCGAGAAUUUGAUGAGCUGCAUUUUCUCGAAUUCAUUGAUAAAGUGAUAAAACUCAUUAUGCAAGCUAAAAACGGAUACUCGGAGAUUAAAAGGAACUAAAUGCUAAACAGGUAACUCGCAGUAAUAUUUAAGCUAGGAGAAAGGGAGGCACAGUGAUUUCGCUACAAGAUACCAUAGUCACAACGAUUACACCAACCUUUUAACUACAAAACAGUGAAACACACAACACAAACAUUACCACGUUAUCUCACCAAAACAAAAGCUCCAAAGUUAAAAGUAAUAGGAAGGCUCGCUCCCGACGUAACUAAGAAAUUAAGUCUACUAGAUUUCCUCACAACUGCAAACCAUUUAUUUAAAUCCUUUUAGGCAGCAUUCAGGCUAUUCGCUAUGUCGAUGACGAAUCGGUAUCGAACAUCGGCCUUGACGAGCCGCUCAAUGGCCGUGUUCACGUAAUCCGCGCUGAUGAGCUCGAUGUCGGCUGUCACGCCGUGUUUCCCGGCAAAGUCCAGCAUCUCUUGGGUGUCCUUAAUCCCACCAAUGCAGCUUCCCGCCAAGUUCUUUCCACCUAGUUUCACAUAAAAGAUGGUUAUUAUUGCAUAAAAGCCCCCCAAAAAUGUUGUAAUUAUCACCUUGACCCCUGAAAUUUUACACUAAAAUAAUAAUUUAUGUAACUAGAGACGACUGUGAGAAUUACAAUAUUUGUAGGGGGGUUCGAGCAUUUUAGCACAUAGCAUAAUUUGCCCCUUAUACAAAUAAUAAGGGAGUUAAUCCUGAUACUAACCCAUGAUCAAUGAGAACGCAGGUAUCUCCAGGGGCUUCUCAGGUAAGCCCACCAUGAUCAUCUUCCCAGUGGCUUUAAGUAGAGCCAAGAGAGGCGGGAUGGAGUGAGGAGCAGAAACAGUGUCGAUGAUACCAUCCAUGGUGCCCAUUGCAGCCUGGGAAGCAGAAAAAAAGAAUCAUGUUCGGAGAUAAUAUUUCCGAAAUUUGCGAGUUCUUGUGUUCCAUUAAUCAUAUGAUCAAAAAAUAAGGAGAGAAAGAAACGAGGAACACUAUCUGUUUACGUAUUCCAGAAUUCAAGUAAAAAUUGUAUAGUUUAGUUUGAAAAGAGAUACAUCUUUAAUAGGCAUAGCAUUCAUAUGUAUUAUCUGCGAGUACAUGAAUGCACAGGUUUACUCUACUAGCUAUGAUAAAAAUUAGAAAUGAAGUGAACGGACUACAUACCUGCAUCUGUUCAGGAUUUUUACUGAUCAAGAAAGCAUCAGCUCCCAACCGUUCUAUUGCCUCCUUCUCCUUGCUUGCCGAAGUGCUGAUCACCGUCACCUUCAAUCCAAACGCCUUGCCAAACUUCACUGCCACAUGGCCCAGCCCGCCAAGCCCGACCACCCCGAGGUGCUUCCCAGGCUCAUUUAGCCCAUGAUACUUCAUCGGGCUAUAAACAGUAAUGCCCGCACACAAAAGUGGCGCGCCCUUGUCAAGAGGGAGGUUUUCAGGAAAUUUAAUAACAAAUUUCUCGUUGACGACGAUCAUGUUCGAAUAUCCACCAUAGGUAACGGAUCCGUCUUUAUCAAUGGAGUUGUAGGUCAGGAUCAUGCCAGGGCAGUAGUUCUCGAAACCUUGGUUGCAGUUGUUGCAGGAUUGGCAUGAAUUCACCAUGCAGCCCACGCCAACCUUGUCGCCGACUUUGUACUUCUGGACCUUGCUUCCUACUUCGGUGACCAGACCAGCGAUUUCAUGCCUAAAAUUAUAAAGAGUAGAAUCGUGACGGUAAUGCAUGAUAAUUGCAUGUUUUGCCUGAAUUUUCGAAUAGCCUUUUCUACAUACAAAGCAGAAAUCAAAUGUUGGCAAGCAAAAAUUCCUGGAGUAGCAGGAAUGCUGAUUUGAAAUCUUCUGCUUCUAGCAAGAGCUUACUCAGACAACAAUUUUUAUAGAGGCUCCACUCAGGUUUAUGCUAUACCCCUAAAGACCCACAACAGUUAGGAGAAAAGAAUAACAUAGUGAACAGAAAAGAAUCGGACAAUUUAUUUUUCUUGACUUCCAAAUUUCCAAUUAUUUAAAAAACACACCCUUUUGAACAAGAAUCUAAUGAAGCAACAUUCUAUAGAACUUAAUAUUCUUUGGACUUUGAAGAUGACCAAUGACUGUAAUUGACCGAAUGGCCGGAGUCCUUCAUAAACAUCUAACUAGCAUCACUUCUAGAAUUCAGUGUUAAGAAUAGUGUUCAUAAUUGGUACAUACCCAGCCACAAUUGGGUAAAUGGUGUUUCGCCAUUCGUUCUUUAUGCUGUGAAGGUCCGAAUGGCAGAUCCCACAGAAGAGUAUCUUUAUGGUCACAUCAUUUUCGCCAUUGUUUCUGUAAAAUAGUGAAAAGCAAAUAUUACAAGUUAUUCAUGGACAUAAUAAGGGAACGAUUAAAAAAUCAUUAGUUCUUUGACACAUUAUAACUUUGAAAGAGAAAAAUGUCAGGCGCACAAGCAUUUUACACAGUAAAUCACUAUAUAUUUAUAGAUUUAAUUAUUCCCGAGCACAUAUUUCUCAUGAAAAACCAGAAAGUCUGAGCAAUAGGUCUUCGAAAGGCAGGAUUUGGACAAAAAAAUUAUAUUAUAAAGUUAUUAUAAAGUGAUAAUUAACCUUGAAGGCAUUUAAAAUCCUACUCACCAAUUCAAUAUCUAAGACCAAUUAGAAUUAAAAGUAAGUUCUUCAGGUUUUGCUUCUUUUCUCCUAAGAACCAAAGUAUCAAUAGAUACAAAUGCUAACACCCAGUUGCAUCUGUAGCUAUUAAAUUUCUGACCUAUAAAAGGCCAAUUUUACAACAACCCUUGGUUGUUGAAUAAUAACUACAAACUGACUGAGUCAGGAUGCACUGACAUUGCAAUCAAGAAAGAUAACGCAGAUAACACGAGAAACAGGGAAUGAUUUCCUAUAAAAAUAUUCAAUCCAAUGUUCACAAUAAAUUGUAUUAGUUGAGUAUUUAUUAUCACAUGGUGUUUGCUACUCCUGGAUAUAUGCAUGAAUUAUUGCAAAACUUAUUCCUUUUGCAUAUUGACUGUAGAUUAUGCAAAUAAGCAGAAGCAAUUAAUGGCAGCAAGACUUGUGAAAGUGCAAGAAGUUCAUGCAGAUGUUGGUGUUAAUUUCCCAUUACAGGUACAACAUCAAAACUAUAGCAAUCAAGGCUUGCUUGCUUACUUUCUCAGAUCAUGAUAAAAAGAAUCAUUAAAAAAGGUAUGAAAAAUUUAAACAUCUAGUCAAGCAAAGCAUAACAUAGAAUAUAGUAAAGGUCAAUAGCUUUGCCGACCGUCCUAGCUCAAGUGGCAAAGGGAUUUGAUGGUUUGACACUUAAUUAAAAAAAAUGGCUCAACAAGAUAUCCAUCCAAGCAUUUGUUGCACUAGCCAGAAGAGAGAGAAAAAAAAUUAUGAAUUAGUUGCCCACUUUCCCCCCCAGCUAACGCUAUAUGCAAUAAAUGAUUCUACGCUGCAAAGCAAGUAAGGCAGUAGUUGCUCUUGCUUCUAAACGUACUAUUCCGAUAAAUAUGAACAUACAAAACAAAGAUGUCAUAUGUCAUACUAAAGUGACCUUGCUUUCUUUCUUCCGUAUUUAACGCUGCUUUUCUCGUUGCCAACAAAAUUAUUUAAUGUCCCUAAAAAGUUGCAACUUUUCUCAUCAUUCAUUAUUGCUAGUCUGCUAGUAACAGGACUAUCAGUGCCCAUAUUUCUAGUCUGCUUAAGAAAACUAUCAAAUUGUUGAAUUGGAAAGGUGUUUUUUUUAUAUUUAUUUUUCAGUUUAAUUUUAUCUUUUCCGGAGAUUUAUUUAUAUUUGUAAGUAGAUAAAAAAAAUAACACAAAGAGCCGAACCAUCUCUUUUAUUUUUUUUCCUUUUAGUCCAGUGUACUCGCCCCAAAUUAAUGUGGCUUCACCAGUAGUGUAGAAUUUUAAAUACCAUAAAGUCUCAAUUAUACAAAAAGUAAAAACAAUUACAAUGGUCCCCAUUCUCAAAAUAAUAAUAAUAAUAAUAAUAAUAAUAAUAAAUACAAUGGUCCUCAGACCUCACAUGGUACCUCACAUGAUAAUGAUAACAUAUAUCAACUACUGAAUCAGAUACCGAUCGUCUCUAGAGCAAAUGGCAAAAUACUUGAUAGUUGAUAUCCGAGAUCCCAAGUUCGAAUCCUAAUUGAUUCACAUUUUCAGCUAAGUUUAUUUCUAAAUAAAAUAAACGAAGUGGGUAGCGUGCUACCUAUCUCUUAAUAAAAUAAAAAAAAAACCCAUUGUACCAGAUUAGGCCCACUCAGUAACAUGGGUACCAGAUUAGGCCCACUCAGUAACAUUAAAAUAUUUUACUAAGUUACAACGAUAGUAAACAGAAGAAAAAAAUAGACGAGUUAGACAUUUGCGUUGAAUCAUACGAGACAGUAGCUUGGCGAACAGGUACAUCAUCAGUCAACUAAUAAAAUAUGCAAAUAAUCGAAUCCCGAACUAUCCUUUAAAAGGUCACUUAAUUACUAAGUAUUAAACUACUACAAGCGUUCAAGGUGGGCCCUACAAGCGUUAAAGGUAGGCCCGCCCGUUCUGCAUGCAGAGCUAGGAAAUUUUAAAUGAAUGGGAAAAGUACAUGAUUAGCACCCUAAUCUUUAUCCAGUGUUCAAUCAAAGCCUCUUUUUUUAAUAACUAUACAAAUAUGGUGCCCGAUAUUGCAAUCCUACAUUGAUGCUGAUGUAGCAAUAACUAUACAAAUUAAUAAUCGUUUUGAUAGACCGACCGUCCCUAAAGCAAGUGGCAAAAGACUUGGUGGUUGUAACCGAAGUCACCAUCUCCUCAAGGUACGGUGUUUCCAAUUUUGAAACGAUUUUGGCAUUUUUUUUUUUUUAAUUUGUGGGCUUUCGGUUUCUAAGCUUUUAAUGCCCCCGCAUUACUGAAUUUUCCAGUUAAUUUGUGUUUAUUUUUCUAAUUUUAUCAAAAUCUAGCAGAAAAAUUUUGUUCUUCAGUUUAGUAACUCAGAUUUGCUUCUGUAAUCAGUUGUAAAAAUUGUUGCUUUUUGUUGCCACUUUGACGAGAGAGAAAAAAAAAAUGGCAUCUUUAUCCUUUUGACUUGAAGGGUUACUGUAGUUUCUAAGUAAUCUCUGGAUCUGCUACAGGACUCAAUUUGAGAGAGCAAAUUUUCUAUGAGUAUAUGGUAUUCUACUUCAAAUUUUCAUGGUAAUUGUUAUGGGUGCAGUGAUGCAGAUCAUAACAAGCUAUCUAAGUUCAUUAGGCUUCGAACUAUAAAUUUUCUAAUCAAAUUUUUAAUCAAUUGCACUAGAUGGAUGGGAACAAAACACACAUCCUAAGGCUCCGUUUAGUUCGGAAAUUAAUAAGAACUAGUUAUAUCGGGAAUAGAUAUAAGUAUGAAUUUUUGUAAGAACAAGAAUAUUUUUUUAUUUGGAUGAAAUUGUGAGUAUAAACUGAAACUAGAAAAAUUGUGUUUAGAUGGUUAUUGGGAAUAAGAGAAAUAGUUGGUGGUUAUAAAUAAAAAAUAAUGAUAUUACCCAUAUAAUUAAAUUUAAAUUUUUAAAAUUUAAAAUUUAAAAUUUAAAAUUUAAAUAUUCAAAUUUUUAAAUUGAAAAUUNUUUAAGUUUUAAAUUUAAGACCAAAUUUAAAUUUGAAAUAUAUAAAAUAUCAAAUUUAAAAUUUAAAAAUUUCUAAUAACAAAUCUAAAAUUUAAAUUUUAAAUUUUAUAAUUUAUAAUUUUAAAUUUUAAUUUUAAAAUUACAAAAUUUAAAUUUUAAAUUUUUAAAAUAAAACUCUCUCUGUCUACCCAGUGGGUGGGAACAAGCUUGUUCCUUGGUGGGAACUAUUGUUCCCACCCCUUACCGGGUUAUAUCAGGUAUAACCCGGUAAGGAGUGGGAACAAUAGUUUUCACCAAUUUUUUUUUUUUUUAUUUGGGUAUAAAGGGUGAUAACCCUCUUAUCCCCCUUCAUACCCGAUCCAAACAGGUCUAAAAGUAAAAGGAUGGAGGGAUUAGGGGUUUGUAUUUGCUAAAAACAAAGAAAAGGUAGUAUGAACAGGACCACCAAAAAAAACUUUGGACAGAAGAAACUUCUGGGCCCCACAAAUGCUCUCGCUCCCAGAAAACUCCAGAGGCUGGUCGUUGUGACUUGCGAGAGGUAAGACCGUAAAAGUUACGAGUGAGGUGGUGCGCGCGCCAAAAAGCGCACCCCAAAAUAAUAAUAUGACAAAAAUGAAUAAACAUAAUAAUAAUAAGUGACCAUACGUCUUUCUCACUUGCAAAAUUAAAUCGAUCGAACGAAUGUCACAAUAUAUAUAUAUAUAUAUAUAUAUAUAUAUAUAGAGAGAGAGAGAGAGAGAGUAGGGCUAGAAUAUUUUUACAAGUAUCAACUAAGUGAUACUUGUGUAUUUUUAACCAUUGGAUCUACUUUUUGAUUACUAAUAGCCUUUAAAGUCAAACAUAUUCCACCUACCACACCUACCACCAUCAUCUCAACCUCACAUCUCUCCAUCCAAGGGCUAAAAACACACAGUAUUUACCCCAUAAUACUUUUACAAGUAUUCUAGUCUACUAUAUAAUAUAUAUAUAUAUAAUAUAUAUAAUAUAUAUAUAUAUAUAUAUAUAAUAUAAGAUGAGCUACUAUGCUAUCGGAAGCACGGAGCCUUCGUGCUUCACUCAUUUUCGAUGUUGCGACUUUCGAAUCGUCGAUCGGCUCCGUUAAACUUGAUCUAGAGUAUUUGAAGUACCUAGAAAAUAAAUUUUUUAUUUUUCGAUAUCAUUUGCCUAGUGAUCGAAUGGCUCAAAUAACAAAUUUCAAUGGUCGUAGUGAGCCGUUUUGCAAGUUUAACGGUGUAGAAAUAUCCAAAUCACGUGAAAUUUUGAUAGAAAAUUCUUUAUACUAUAUAAAACAAGAUCAAUAUCUUUGAUUUAAAAUUUUAAUGUCAUAUUAUCACAUUUUGUAAGAUUUUUAUUUUCAGCCGUUGAUUUUAAGCUCCUUCGUUCACUAGGCAAAUGAUAUCGAAAAAUAAUAAAAUUUAUUUUCUAGGUACUUCAAAUACUCUAGAUCAAGUUUAACGGAGUCGAUCGACGAUUCGAAAGUCGCAACAUCGAAAAUGAGCUGGAAGCACGGAAGGCUCCGUGCUUCCGAUAGCAUAGUAGCCUCGCUCUAUAUAUAUAUAUAUCUACGUAUUAUAGAAACAUAUAGAUCUGGUGGUUUUUUGCUCGACGAAUAAAAAAAAAAUCUGUGAAUAGACAAUGGAUGGAAUUUUUCCUCAACGUGUUAGUCACUAAAAAGGCAAGAGAAAUUGUAGGAAGAAGAUGGCGACCUAAUAAUACAAAGGAACAACGGAAACAAAGAUACAUCUAUAGAUCGAAGAAUAUUAAAAUAUAACUCGAAAAUAAAAUGGACUAAAUUAAAUCGAAACCCAAAAUAAGCAGCAAAUUUCUAGUCGAUAUGCCAAAAAUAAAAAAGAAAAAAAAACUAAAGCGUAAUCUGUAGAGAGAGAGAGAGAGAGAGAGAGAGAGCGAGCAAGAGAUCAAAAGAUCUAAACAUACCUAUAGACCGAGCCAUAUUACAAAACGAAAUGUACAAAAACAAAUGAGAAUGUUUUUUUUAUAUACUGGAAAUCAAGGAGAGCAGGUCAAUAACUACUGAAAAAUAUACUCAAAACGAACGAAAAAAGCCGGGAAAAAAAAGAGAAAACACAAAUAAAAGUAGGACAGAAAGAAAACACGGAAGCAGCUAGAAAUUAAAACACAUAUAGAUCGAGCGAUCAUUCCAUCAGUAAAUAGGUCUACACACACAUCGAUCGAUUGAUCAAUAGCAAAAUCUGCACACAUAUCGAUCGAUCAUUCGAUCAAUAAAUAAAUCUGCACAUACACACAUCGAUCGAUUGAUCAAUACCAAAAUCUACACGCACGCACACACACAUCGAUCGAUCGAUCGAUAGAAAAAUCCACACACACACACACAAAGAGAGAGAGAGAGAGAGAGAGACCUGCGAGAGAAGGCGAAAGGAGAGAGGUGGCCGGAGGAGUCGGUGGCCGCCAAGCCGAAGGCCUUGCGGGAGUGCUCCUCCGCGGGCGAAAGCUUCUCCCCGUUCUCCGUCGACGGCGCCAUUGAUGCUCCUUCGCGAGAUCGCUCGAGAGAUCGCGAGAGAGAGAGAGAGAGAGAGAGAGAGAGAGAGGAGAUGCGAAUGAGGGAAUCGUGAAACACUGGGAAAGAGCGUACGCUCGGGGCCGUUGCAUUUAUAGCGGGGCUCGGGGUGGGGUGGGGUGGGGUCGGGCAGAGCGAAAAGGCGUGGCGAGCUCAGAAGAGUGUAGUAGCCACAAGCCCUCCUUGCUGACGUCACCAGUGACAUUUUGCGUUUACGUCCCUCGUGUUCGAAUUACGGACCAAAUUAAUUGGGUUAAGAAAAAUGCUACAUGUACGUUCCUCGUAUCAAUUACAAAUUAAUAUAGACGAUGAUAAAAAGACUAUGGUGUAUGACUCAUACAUCUAUAUCUGUAUUAUUAGUCUUACAAAUAGAGCCUUGCUCUUACAUUUAAUGCACUAUUCAUAAUUCACAACCUAAUAAGUUUUACGUACGGUUGGUAGCCGAAAUCUCUAAUCUCUGACCUGAUCAAAGAUCCUCCUCGAGGAGCGCGUCAGGAUGCGAAACGACUGUGAAUAGUGAUCCUCGAAGUUUGCGCCCUUCGAUUGAUCAAGCGAUUCAGCUAACGAGAGAACGGGUCAGCCAAAUUCGAAACCUUUACAGCAAAUUCGGUUCAGCUAGAUGAGCCGAAUGAACAAAAGAAGUCAGAAUUUCAGCCAAUGAAUGAGCCGAAUAGCUAAUACAGCACAUGAACUGGUCGGCCUGAAGAGCCGAACACUGCCUUCUAUUGAAAGAGAACGGAGAAAGUACAGGAAAGAGGGUUUUAGUCUACAGCGGAGUGAUGCCCAAAGGGCAGACAGACUCCAGAAUGCUAAGUUACAGGAACUACUCCUAGGGAAAGCAGUAAAUGCGAGAAAGAAAGAUGCAGGAAAAAUAAGGUUGGUCUUUUAUGCGCAGAGGUCAAGACCCUUUUUUCAGGAUACUAUAUGCCUAUUUAUAGAGUUGUCCCUGCGCUGGUUAUUGCCCUCGCACAAUCAGCCACUAUCUCCUGGUUUGUAGGACCACCUUCGGCCGAUCGGAACCGCUCGUAACAGCUUGCGGUUGCUAUAACUCCUUGAUCCAGCGCAGCUCAUGUAUCUUCUAGUGCGUCUGAUGUACUCCCGGUCCACCGUCUUAACCAUAUCAUGGAUAUGGACCCGGCGUGCCAGCUGUUCGUGCCGAAUUGGCUUAACUCCUACAUUUUAAUUUUGGGAUAAUUUCAUUAAUACCCCUCUGAAAAAUCAUAAUUUCAUGAAUAACCCUCCAAACUAAAAAAUAUCAUCAAUAUCCCUCUUAAAACCAAAAAUGUUCACAGAUACCCUUUUAGAUUAACUUUCCGUCAAGUGGUCAUCCAAUAUUUUAUAAAUACCAAUUUUACCCCUAGCAACAAUUUAAACAUAUAAUAUUUAAGAUUAAUUAUAUGAUCAAUUUUUAACAUUUGAAUCACAUAAUAAUUUAACAUUAUUUCUAAAAUAUUACAAUUAAAGAUCUAUAGUCUAUUAAGUGUGAUAGUUAAAUCUCAUUAUGAUUUUUCGCUUUUAAAUUAUACAUAGUUAUAAUGCAAUUUGUCUAUAGUAGAAUUCAACAUUAACUAUUUAAAGAUUUAUUUUUAAAAAUUUUAUUUAAAUAACUCACAUAUCUCAUGCUAAAAAUAUUUUGAUAUCAAAAUUCUCUAUAUUAGAGUAUUACUUAUAUGAUCUGCUCAAACAAAAAUUUUUUAAUUAAAAAUUUAUUAUUAACAAUAAAGUAAAAUUUUAUGAAAACUCUCUCAUCUAUAGUCCACUUCGACAUGAUCCUAACUUGGAAAAGCGUGAAAUUUGAUUUUCAGAUAGUUUAAAUGGUUUAUAUCAUGUUUAAUGAUGCCGAUUGUCAAUUUGAAAGUCCUAUCAUUGAAAAUAAAUCGUAGUAAAUCAAGCUGUACUACCGAUAGUAUUAUAACAAAACUCUCUCUAUAUAUACCCUCUCAACAUAAGUGUUUUUUUUUUAAAUUUUAGCAAUUGAGUGUUUUAUCCCAAUAAAAUUAAAAAUAUUAUCAAUUUCAUGUGAGGGAUCUCAAUUAAAUUUUUUUUAACUAAGUAAAGUCAAAAUAAAGAAAAACUGAUAAUUCAAGGUCUCUUAAUGUUAAAAAAUAAAACUUGAAGCAGUCUAGUUCAAAAUGAUCUAUAGGUGAGGGAUUUCUUUAUUUUUUACCCACUAAUAGUUAGUGUUAGAGAUGUUAUUUUUAAAAUUUAGAAGGGUACUUAUGAAAUUGCCCCUUAAUUAUUUGCUAUCAAAAUAACACCUAACCCUUUUAGAGCUAAAUUAGUCAUUUUGUAACUCAAUUUUUAUUUAACUAAACUUUAACUAUGGUUAUAGCAACAGUCGUUAAAAGGAAAGGUAAUUGUGAAAAUAUUUUGCAUUUGAAGGGGUUUAUAUGAUAUUUUUAACUUUAUAGAGAUAUCUACGAUAUUUACAUAUUUGAGAGGGGUAGUGGUGAAAUUGACCCUUAAAUUUUAGUCUUCGAUCUACAUAUUAUUUUCUUUCAUUUCAAUUAGAUUCUAAUAGUUCAAUUCAAAUAAAUUUUUGCCUCCUCUUAUAAAUUGCAAUCGUAAUUAGAAAGCUACUGACCAAUUCAAGCAUUAAUUAUUUUUAAUUUUUUAAACAGUUUGAUAAUACUUUUGUUGAUGUCAAGUAUACCAGGUCAAGAUACUUCAUAUAUAGAAGGCAAUAGCCAUCGUACGUAAGGUCUAAGUGAUUGAUUAUAGGCGUAUAAAAAAGUAUUGGCGUGAUAAAAUUAGGCUUCACGUGAAGUGGAGAAAGAGAUCGGGGAACCAAAGUUGAAUCAAAAUUAAAAAUAUAUAUAUAUAUAUAUAUUUUUAAAUAUAUAUUUUUUGAAUCAAAAUUAAAAAAAAUUCAGAUAAAAGUUGGAACCAAUGGUACAGUUAAUCCAAACUACUUUCUUAUUCAUGGACGAGAAUCUCAAGAAAGAAAAAAAACAAUUUCAAUUUUGAAUGUUUGUUGUAUUUUGUUUUGUGUUGUCUUUUUUUUUUUUUUGGUUAAUUUUGUAAGUUUCUACGAAUAAAAUUUGCAGAUUAAGUACCUGGAUGAUUGGGUGCGAAUAUAUGGUGCUUUAAUUGCAGAUUAAGUACCUGGAAUUUAGUAGACCUAAUGCAAAGUAUCCAACUUCAGCGUAUAAAUGUGAAAUUGAAUUAUAGAAAUCCUGAAAACGACAAAAUGAAAUAUUCACAACUAAAAUUAUUUUGGUAAUAAAAUUUAGACUUCCCACUAUUAAUAUAUAAUAAUAAAAAGUGGGAUUAUAUUUUUAUAUUUAUUUAUUUAUCUUAUAAUUAUUAUUUUAAGAGGACUCAAAUGAUCCUUCUCCGUAAUUUCACAACUUAGGCAUAGCAUAGCGUUGUACUUUUCCCAUCGAUGAGAGAUAAUCGAAGUUGUUGCUGAUGCAAGCAAUAACGCAAUACAUAUAUAUAUAUAUAUAAUCGAAGUUGUUGCUGAUGCAAGCAAUAACGCAAUAUAUAUAUAUAUAUAUAUAUAAUCGAAGUUGUUGCGGAUGCAAGCAAUAAACGCAAUAUAUAUUAUAUUAUACAUAUUUGAUUAGUUUGAGGACAUAAUUUAUUUUAUAUUAUUCAUUCAUUUAGCUACAAGUGAUCAAUUACCAAUAUUAAUUUUACGUGAAGCUUCUCUCAUUCGAUGUCUAAUGGAAGAGCUUAGAAGCUCUCCAUCUCAACCUACGAUUGGCGCAUAACUACAAAAACUCUUUUAUUUUAUAUCCCUUUUAUAAAAUUUGGAGCAAUUGGUUCUUUACACUGUAAUAUCAAUAUUUUAUCUUAAUUAAGACUCAAAUAAACUCACUCCAGUAUCAACAAAACAGUAAUUUAGCUUUUCAGUGCACUUCUCAAGUUUAAACCGAUAAAAUCUACAAUGAAAUGUUAUUAUGCAUGUUGCAUGAUAUGAACUCGAGACUUACAACACAUAACAACCAAACUUUUUGCGUGAAUAAUUUAGUACAAGUACAUAGGACUAAAUAAAAUUACACGCGAGGAUUGGAUGGGAGCGUGGAACUGAACGGUUCAUUUUGGGCUCUCUCCAUUCUAGUCCAAAACAAGAGUCACAUCAGAGAUGUGUGCGUCUGCAUUGCACCACCGUGCGUGUACGACACAAAAGCUAGCUCACGCCGUGUCCGUGUGUAACUUGAAUUUUUCUAUGUUUGAUUUGAAGAUCAAAACUAAAUUUAGUUUUAUUUGGAUUCGAAUUCAGAACUCAUAACAUGCACGUCAGGUGUUUUCAUGAGAUAGGUAUCUCAUAAUAUCAUUACGAGCAAUGCUUCAAUACUCCAUUGUAAUCUUAGCCGUUUAUUUUUAAUCAAUGAAGGGUUAAGAUUUAUGCAUAAAAAAAGAUGACCUGCUAUUGCACAAGAAGUAUCAGUCACCAGGUAUGUGAUGUAGAAAUUUUUUUGAAAAAAAAAGAGUUAAUAUUAAAAAAUUAAAUAAUUAAUAUUGAAAAGUUUUGCAUACUACCCUUAAAUCAUGGAGAGAAUAAAUUUUUAAUUAAAUUGUCCAUUUUUAAAGCCGAUUUUAAUAAUAAUUUAUGAUCGCAUUUGAGUCAUAAAUUUAGUAAUUUAUAAUUUAAAAUUAAUUUUCAAACAUCGAAACUUUAUGUUUAAAUAGUUAACAAAAUUUAUUUUUUAAGUAUAAUAUAAAUUAAAUCUAAAUUUAUAAUUUAAAUUUGAUCAAUAUUUUUGAAAUUUAAUGCUGUUUUUCAAUAUUGAAUUAACAAUUUCAACUUACUUUAAAAUGUAGAAAUCUUUUAUUUAAAUAAAUAAUAAAAGUUUAUAAAUACACUAUAACUUAAAUUACAAUUUUAAAGAUAGUAACAUUAAUUUUUGAACUUUCAUGUUAGUUUAAUAUUGAAUUGAUAAUUUGAAUUGAAAUGUUUACUCGUUUAAAUAUAAAUUUUUCUUUCUAAAAUUUAAAUUUAAUUUAUACAAUUAUAAAUACAAAGUUUAAACUCAAGUUAAAUUUUAAAUUCGAAUUUAUGAAGAUUUAUCACUUAUGAAAUUAGCCAUUAUCUAAGUUGGUAAGUAACAAAAUUAAAUUAGGAAAUGAAGAUUUGUUGGAUAUUAUCAAAUUUGGUAAUUAGCUAAUUGCAUAGUUUCAAAUAUUAUCUUUAUGAUUGAUUAGUAACCUGUUGAGCAGGUUAUUAUUGUGUAAAAGUCAAUCUUAACCUCAAAAAUUGGAUGGUCAGAUUUAAAUUGGCCGGUGUAUAGAAGUAUUUCUCUAUUAUUACAUGUCUUUAUUUAUUGUACUAACAUCAUAAAAAAUUUUGUUGGAGGAUAAUUUUAUAAGGUACAUGAUCACAAACCAACUAAAAAUACAUUCUAAUAUACCGACUUUUUCUAGCGCAAGUGGCAAAAGACUUGAUAAUUGGUAUUUGAAAUUCCAAGUUCGAAUUCUAAUUAAUUCACAUUUUCAGCUAAGUUUAUUCUUAAAUGAAUAAACGAAACGGAUAGCAUGCUAUCCAUCUCUCAAAAAUAAACAUUCUAAUAUAUAUAAAAAAAAAGGUGAUGUUCAUUUAAUGCAAUAAAAAAACAUUCUAACCGUGCAAUAAAAAACAUUCUAAUAUAGAAAAAAAAAAGGUGAGGUUCAUUUCAUGUAAUGGAGAUAUACAAAUUUUCUCUAUUACGGAGAAUAUGAAAUUCAAGACAUUAAGGAUGCAUUUGGUUCGCACUGUCUUUUUAAGAUUUUCGGUAAUUCAAUUCAAUAGGAAUAAGAAAAAAUGACGGUGUUUAGUUAAACGUACUAAAUAAUCUAACUAGUGAUCGACUUGAAAAUGUGAUUCAUCCCAAAGUACUAAGCUCAUUAUCUUGAUGAAGGAUAUGUAUCCUUAUAUUAAUAUAUUAGUAAUCAUAAUGUAUCUAAUAUUUUUCUUUAUUGCUAUCUGUCGACUAGUUGGUAUUAUUUUCUUUUACUCUCUAACCUUAUAUCUCUUUCUAAAUUUUAACUCAUUUUCUCUAAGUUAAACUCUCUUUACCCCUUUUUUUUUUCCUAAAAUUUCAACUCUCUUACUCUCUCUCUUUUUCUUUAAUUAUGCUCUCUCUCCGACAUGUGUUCUCUCUCUUUUUUUAAAAAAAAGAUGAUGAAUUUUUGAUAGCAUUAUUUAAAAUUAAUUAACGAAACAAUACAUUAAUUGUAUAUUUUUCGUAAUCUAAAAUUAAUAAUAUGACUAAAUAAUAUUAAUUACCGUGCGAACCAAAUACCGAAAUGUCACUUUCUUAGUAAUAGGAUGAGUAGGAAUAAGAUUCUUUGAUAUUUUUUUAUUCCUAGUAAUCUUUCAUUAUGCGAACCAAACAUGUUCUAAACCCAAUCAAAUGAGUAAUAAAAGUCAUUGCAAAUUAUAAAUCAUUUAAAUAAUUGAUUUAUCGAUCCAAUCCACUGGUUUGGAUGCUACCAAACAAAUGAAGGGUAAGCCUCUGUUGGACUAAUUGGGGUUCAAUUGUUGGAAUCGUCCUAGGCCCAUUGCAUCUAUUUGGCCUUUAAAACUCAGCCCAAUAAAAUGGAGCACAAUCGAACUUGUCAACGUUUAGGCCCAAUAGUGGCCCAAACAACAAGUACGAAGUCAAAAACGUAAAUAGAGAUGGAAAGAACCCUUCAUCUCUCUCUCUCUCUCUCUCUCUCUCUCUCUCUCUGCGUUCUCGGGAGCUCUCUCUUCGUUCUCGAGAGCUCGGCAAUGGCGUCGUCGUCCCCGGACCUCCUCUUCGGCCUUCGCAAUAGCUUCUACCUCGGCGCCUACCAAGGCGCGAUCAACAACAGCGACAUCCCCAACCUCGGCCCUGACGACGCCAUCGAGCGCGACUCCAUCGUCUACCGCUCCUACAUAGCCCUCGGAUCCUACCAGGUUUCCCUCCAUCUCCUCCUCCUACUUCGAUCGAUCCCCCUUUCUCUCAUCUCCUCCUCGGUCUCUUCGAUUGACCCCGUAAAUUUGUGAUCUCUGAUCGGAUCUCGCCGCGUUUCGAUGCAGCUCGUGAUCAGCGAGAUCGACUCGUCCGCGCCCACCGCGCUUCAGGCCGUGAAGCUUCUCGCGCUCUACUUCGCCGGAGACAAGGUUGGUUGAUUUGCGGGUGCCAGAUCUAGUAUAGUCUGUUAGAUCCGGAUCUGACGGGAUCUGUAUGUUACGAAUUGCGACUUACUUGAGUUCAGUUUUGUGAUCCAAUGCUUGUUUUCGAUUAAGUGUUGUUUAAAUGCCCUAGAUUUCAGAGUGUUGAUCCUAAUUUUGAUCUACUUUAGUGAUUUGAAGUUUGGUUUCAAUUGAAAGCAGGAGCGUAUAGUAUUUUUGGUGCUCUAGAUCUCAGAGUAUUGAUCUUUGUGCGUUCCAUUUUUAUCCAAUUUAGUGAUCCAAAGCUUGGUUUCAGAGCGUGGGCGUAGUGUAGUUUUGAUGCCUUAGAUUUCAGAGAUCUGAUCUUAGCGCAUUCCACAUUGAUGAAUAUCGCUUUGAUGUUCCGCGGAUCACAUCCCAACUGGCUGAUUAGUAUGAGUAGGUAGCAAGACAGAUAUGUGCCUUCUUGGAUCAUCCUCUUUCUUUCAGGCCUUAUGCUUCAAUCUUGAAUAUCUAUUAAACUGAGAAUUACAAGGUGCUCUGGUAUUACCAAACGUUUGUUAUUUAAGCAGACCUACAGAACCGUAAUGUAGUAACUAGUUGGUAAAGGAAAUAUUUAACCUUAGUUUCUAUGGAGUGUUUCUAGAGCCACCAUAACUUGUUAUAUGUAUAUAAAUAGUUGCAUCACACUUGGACAUCCUACGUAGAAAAUUAGAAGAGAAACAUUCUCCGUGAGCUCUUAUAAUUUGGGUUGAAGUAGUUCAUAUACCGUAUAGCUAAUGUAAUCUGCGCUCUGUAUGUCAUUGCAAUCUCUUCUGCUCAUUCAGUUGUUCAUUAAAAAGAUUAAAUUUUCAGUAUAAUUUAUCCUGUAUUCUUUCCCGUCAAAGUGGUUCUGUAAAUAUCUGAAGCUGAUUGAGUUUUCCCUGGUUUUCUUUAAAAGGAAGCUGCAAUUUCUGGUCUCCAAGAGUACUUGAGUGAUUCGGCCAUAGGAAACAAUCCUGUUCUGCGACUAAUUGCAGGGAUUAUAUAUAUGCAUGAGCAAGACUACAAUGAGGCUCUCAAGCAUACCAAUUCUGGAGGAACUAUGGAAUUGUGAGUUUUUAUUUCUCAUUAGUGUUUGCAAGAAAUAACUUUCUUCCAACAAAGGUCUCAAAUAUUGCGGUGCAACUGAAUAUAGAAAGUAAACAAAUGCUCCUAUUGUUGUGGAGAAUGAUAAUCAGGGGUCAAUAACAAAAUUAGUUUCCAUCCCAAUUGGAUGAAAUAGUUGUUUCGCACCAGUUUUCCUUUGACGCGUUUGGCGGAAUAUGUGGAAUAAUUUUUGUGUCAACCCAGUGUUAUUCACUAACUAAUCAGUGCCGAGUGAUGGCUAAUCUAUGAAAACUUUGUUCUAGGAGACAAAUUAAUUUCAUUAGUUUGAUUCAACUUCUUCUUUGCAGGCAUGCAUUGAAUGUACAAAUUUACAUUAAGAUGUAUCGGUCAGACUAUGCAGAGAAACAACUUAAGGUCAUGCAACAAAUUGAUGAAGACCAUACACUGACUCAACUUGCAAAUGCAUGGCUAGACCUAGCUGUGGUAAAACUCUUUUCACUAAUUUAGACAUGUUUAUAGAGAUCUCAGCUGUUUUAAUAUUGAUCAUAGUGUUUUGCAAUGUUAGGGUGGAUCUAAGAUACAGGAAGCAUAUCUUAUCUUCGAAGACUUCUCUGAAAAGUAUCAGAUGACUGGGAUGAUACUCAAUGGGAAGGCAGUUUGCUGUAUGCACAUGGGGCGAUUUGAUGAAGCUGAAACUCUAUUGCUUGAAGCGCUAAACAAAGUAAGAUUAGAACAUCCUUUUCUUCUUCUCAAAAACUGUUGAAAGCUAAUUUUACAGCCAUAAAACUAAGAGAAUCUUGUUUUUACCUUUAAUAGGAUGCGAAAGAUGCAGAAACUCUCGCGAACCUAAUUGUGUGCAGUCUCCACCUUGGCAAAUCCUCAUCUCGAUACUUCAAGUGAGUGAACAAUGUAUUAUGUAUUAAAAUUAGGAAGAUAUGCAUCACCGUCUCAGUUUUCUUUUUUUUUUCCUUUGUGCCAAUAACUGUACGUUACUGGCAUUUCGUGGCCGGUUUCUUCUCAUAGUUUCCUUCUAAAUUUAUCAUGCCACACAAAUCAUAUAUUGCUUGCUUAUUUCCCUGUUUUGCUUCUGCAGCCAGCUGAAGCUGUCGCAUCCCGAUCAUACGCUCGUCAAGCGUGCCGCCUCUGCCGAAGAUAGCUUUGACAGAGCUCUUCAAGCUGUCGCAUAAAGCCUUUGUUAUUUCAGCUCCUCAAGGGGAUGCAACAUAGCUUCUGCUUUUUUAAUGCACCAUUUUGAAUCCGCCUUACACUGUUGCUUUCUUAAUCAUGUCGCGUAAUGUUACAUUGAAUUGAAAAGAUGUAGUCUGUUUGUCCUUUUCGACAUUUCUUAUGCCUUUGUUAGAUCAUUAUGUCCAAGUCAUGGAGCUUAAAGUGUUUUUUUUUUUUUUCCUGUAUUAGAAAAUUAUCCCCCUUUUUUAAUGAGUCUCUCUGAAAAUUGUAUUCUUUGUAAUCCGUCACUGCUGCUGCUGAUCAAGGUAGCUGUAAGUUGGCCUAUAAUUAGUCAUGGUUUGGUCUGAUUUUUAUUUCUUGGUGUUUUACAACUGGCCAAAGAGAAUCUGGUGAAGCAGUUCUUCAAUUUUUUUUAUUUUUUUAUUUUUUUAUUUUUGCUUUUUUGUUGUUUUUUUUAUGAAGAACCUUUGUCGAGUCGACGUGAAUGAAUGAUGGGCUAAAAAUAAACUCAUUCACUGCUAUUGCUAAUUUUUGGUCUACUAUAACUUCGAGCCGAGGGGUAUGUGACUUUUUUUUUCCGUCCAAAACGGAAAAAUGGUUCAAAUUUGGAAGUUCAAUUACCUGAAUUAUGAUUGUCUGAUCCUAUGAUUAUGAACCAAGUGUAGACUCUGGCUAAAUGGCCUCAUAAAUCUGGUGAUAAGAUGCUUCCACAUCCUGUAUGCUGUAAGUAUAUGCUAUUUUGAAUCUACAAUGUUUCAAUUUGAAGAAGGAAAUAGGGAAAAAAAAAAAGAAGAAAAAGAUAAGGGUAAAUAUUGCAUAAGAAGUUCACAGAAUACAUAAUUUUGAUAUUGGACUAUUAUUUUUUGUUUUUUAUCUUUCACAGAGGAUAAGCACUCACGAAGAACAUUGUUGAAUGGCGCUACGCAAACUCGAGAACGAGGUACAUAAAACCAAACCUUCAGGAGCAAUCUUCACCUAUGCAGGGGCACUUGUAGCUCGACGGCAGGCGCUUGCCGCAGUCCGCGAGCAUCUGGAGGGUGAUGGGGAGGAGCAAGUCCACGUCCAUGAGCUUCAACCGGAUGGCCAUGCACAGGCAUACGGCGGCGUCCAUGCCCAUCAACCACUUGAUCACAGGGCAGCAUGCCUCCUUCGCCUUCUUCCCGAUCCCGACGUGGACUAGCCCAUCAAGGAUGUCGACGCACAUCCCGAGCUUGAGCGCGUUUAUCGGGCACUUCUUUGGCGGGGAGGGCGCAGGGGCAGGCGAAGGCGACGGGGGGUGUGGCUUCGGUGAUGGAUGUGGCGACGGAGGUGAUGGUCGCGAUGGUGGCGGCGACGGUGUUGGUGUCGGUUUCUCAAACGCGAUUCGCCGGCAAUCGGGACAUGGAAAGAGAGAAAAGAGUGGAGCUUGGAGCACAAGCAGAAUGAGUAAGACGGUGGCCACUGCAUACCUCCCCAUGCUUUUGCAGAGAAGUGCAUGAGGUUUUGGCAUGUAGUAUUUAUAGGCACGAAAUGCAUAGGAGUGCAUGCAUUUGUUAUGCCUUUGUGUUUCCUGAUACAACUAAACUAGCUUGUUGAGCCUCUGGGGCUUUAUCCUUUUCCUUCUCCGUAGUAACUUGCAGUUUUAUGCUUUCCUACUGAAUCUCUUACAAACAACCCACAAAAUACGUGGAAGGAGAUAGAAAUUUAAUAUGCUGUUCACAAGUCACAACACAGAUGUAAAGAUGAAGUAAGAGCCUAUUCAGCCCAAUGAUUCAAACAUCGCGAAAAGAACCGAAUGAAUUUUUAAGGGAGAGACCAAAUACAACGCAGAUCCACCGGUUCAUAAGAGCAGUACUGUUAAAAACUAACACAGAUUCAGGUUCCGGUUAUGGAUUCGUAUUUUUCGCUCAGCAUAGCUGAAAAAAGAUGGCUAAUUUUGAGUGGUUCGUGAAUAACUGCGUUUACGGCAUCCGCCAUUUCGUUUGGACAUCUAUACCCAUCAGUGUUCAUGUAGCAUAGGUGAAGUAUUCUGCACAUAUUCCAAAAUGGGUCCUUGCAAGGUCUUGGAAUUGCACCUCCCUCCUUCAGCACCGGCCUUAGUAAUUCCUCUCGACAAGUUUCGUCGGAUCUCCGUACCUCCCUUACCGCGUCUUCGACGGAGGUGGAAGGGCUGCCGUGAAGCACGCGGAGUGAGAUGCUAUUCAACUUCCCUUCAUUGCCUUCUCUCUGCACCAAUUUAAAGAAACAGGUCUGGAGUAGUUCAUAAGUAAACUUUAUUAGGAUAGGAUGGAAAUUCGCUUCCUCCAAUCUAUUUGUGUUACUAAAUUUUGCACUUACUACUUGGAAUUACAUCGUAACCUUGCAGGUCGUUUAAAAGACGGCCGCAUGUGCUUACAAGUCUGAACAAUUCAUGGUAUUCUGGAUCUGCGACGGCCUCAUCCGAAAGCUUUGGACCAACAAAGUAGAGAGCCACCGACUGUCCCUAAAGCAAGUGGCAAAGGGUUUGGUGGUUGAUAUUCGAGAUCCCAAGUUCGACUCCUACUUGAUUCAUAUUUUUAGUUAAAUUUAUUUCUAAAUAAAAUAACCGAAGCAGGUAGCGUACUAUCUAUCUCUCUCUCUCUCUCUCUCUCUCUCUCAAAAAAAAAAAAAAAAAAAAAAAAAAAAAAAAAAAAAAAAAAAAAAAAAAACCGUAGAGAGCCGGGAGAAUGAUGGGGUCCAAAGCAAAGGAAACAAAUCCAUUUUCCAUGUACUGCUCUAUCGUGGGCACCGUUUUGUUCCUCAGACACUCCGCCUCGUUCAUCAUGGACCGAAAUAAGCUAAGCCACUGUCGUUUGCAUCGCUAUAUUCUGGGAGUCGUAAGUUCUUUUGAGUUUUUGUUAUUACAAGGUAAAAAUAUACAGAUCUCAGUUGAACUGUAGAAUACUUUAAAAGUUCAUUACCCAACGUCUAAAUUUAUUUAAUUUAAAUCAGUGGACGACACUUUUGAGUCAUUAACUUUUUCCCUUCUUUGUAAUAAUUUGCAGUUUUAUUGUUUCAUACUGAAUUUCUUACAAAUAAACCCACAGAUACGUAAAAGCAAGAGGAAAUUAAAAUACAUUCACAACACAGAGGUUAAAAAAAAAGAAAGAAAUAAACAACACAAAAAUUCAAACAACAUGAAGAGAAACCAAACGAACUUUAAAAAGACCAAAUCAGAUAGAGAUCCAGAGCUAGGUUCUCGACAGUAGUACAUUUUUUUUUUUCUAUUAAGAGAUUUUAAUGAUAAUGACAUAAUUUAUCGAUGAUGAGCAGCUCUUGGCGACCCAAUAUUUUCGAUUAUAGACAACAAAAUACACAUUGAUUCAGCUCCUGCUAGGAACAACCAAAUCACACGGAUUCAGGUUCGAGUUUGGAAUUUGUAUUCGUAUUUUCGCCGGGUACAGCUGACAAAAGAUGGCUAAUUUUGAGUGGUUCAUGAAUAACUGCGUUCACAGCACUCACCAUUUCCUUUGGAGACGUAUAUCCAUCAGUGUUCAUGUAGAAUAGGUGAAGUAUUCUGCACGCCUUCCAAAAUAAGUCCUUGCAGCUUCGAGGAAUUACAGAUCCUUCCUUCAGCACUAGCCUUAGCAAUUCUCUCCGCGAAGUUUCGACAGAUCUCUUAAUCUCCAUUUUAGCCUCUUCUAUGGAGGCGGAAGAGCCGGCCUGAAGAACGAGGAGAGAGACGCUGUUCAACUUUCCUUGUUUACCUUCUCUCUGCACCAGUUUGCAGUAAUAAGCGUCCAAAUGAUAAUGAUUAAAAACCACAAGGAGCUUGAAGAGAAAGUGGGGGAACAAAAUUAAGGCUCUAAUAGGACGGGAAUUCGCUUCCUCCAAUCUAUUUGUGUUACUAAAUUUUGCACUUCCUCCAAUCUAUUUGUGCUUACUAAAUUUCGCACUUCCUCCAAUCUAUUUGUGCUUACUAAAUUUUGCACUUACUGCUUGUAUUACCUCGUAACUUUGCAUGUCGUUUAGAAGACGGCCGCAUAUGCUCACAAGUCUGAACAAUUCAUGGUAUUCUGGAUCUGCAACGGCCUCUUCCGAAAGCUUUGGACCAACAAAGUAGAGAGCCGGGAGAAGGACGGGGCCCAGAGCAAAGGAAACAAAUCCAUUUUCCAUAUACUGCUCUAUUGUGGGUGCCGUUUUGUUCCUCAUCCACUCUGCCUCUUCCAUCAUGGUCCUUAUCGCGCUAAGCCACUGUCGUUUGCAUUGCUAUGCGUCAAAGUCUUUUCAAGAUAAAUGGUUCCCGGUUUAAAUUGAGACACAGGUUAUUCCUACAAUACAUAUAUACCCUGUAAAAUAUGAAUUCUCAUACAAUCUGAAUUGUGAAAAAGUCGGUUUUGUAUUUGCAAAAAGAUUUUCUGAAGAGAAGCAUCAUAGCAAGGGUUGUAACAUGCUUUUGGAAUGGUGCAUGUGAAAACUCGCAUAUUGCAGGGAUUUACAGGCGAUUUUGCAGGGGAAUAUAUGUAAAUGUCUGAAUUCGGUAAGUUGUAAGAUCUCACUAUUUCAACUAGGUGGCCGGUGACGCUGCGAUUUUGUACUACUGACGCCUUAGCUCCAAGCUCAUUGAUUGUGCUGUAAACAGCAGAAAACAAAAUCUCCACGUGCUCAGAGCAGAACUCCUUUUCGUGAUUUCCAUCCCAUCUGUCACAAGUACAAAGGUGCACUUUAAGUAAAUAAUGUGUAAAAUAAUCUCAGAAGAACAGCGGAUCAUUAGUAUAAGCAAGAAAAAUCGUACUUCUCAACUAAACUGAUGAGGUUUUCUAAUUCUUCUCUUGAUCCACCUACGUCGAAGAAGUCGUCAACCACAGUGGUGAGCAGACUAUUUUUGGUCCAUGACAUGCGAGCAUCGGUUAAUUCAGGAGGAUAUAAAGUAGCGGCAGCAGAGAGGUAACAGUAUGUUAGCUUAUCCCGAGCAAAUCCUAGCUGAUCCAACCUGUUUUCUCUGACCCAGCUGUUAAAAUCACAAAUUUAGAUUAGGAAAGCACAAUGCUGGCGUUAAAUGUAAUAAAAAUAAGGAACUUGCUUUUGCAUGCGCACUUAACAAAAGCAUAUUUGUGAAGGAAAGUGAGUGGAAGGGCAUAUAGGCACAUAUUGGAUAUUCAAAGGACAUUGGCAACAAUUUCAACUUAAGAAGGGUCUGCGAGCAAACGUGUUUAUUUCGAGAGAUAUUUAUGCAACAAAAUAACCCUAAAAAGAGAAUCCAUAAGAUGGACAGACCUCUGAAGAUGUUGAAGUUCUUUCUGAUAUAUAGACUGACAACUACUGAAAUCUUCAAUUGCCAAUUUAAGAAGAUCAUCAGAAGUGCAGAAAGACCUGAUACAGUUCAAAAGCAAAAAUUACUGGCAGAAAUCCAAAAAUCAGAAAAAAAAAGGUUUUAUCCUAUUUAUGAUUAAAUUCUUACUUAUAUGAUGUUUUGAGAAUCUGAUAAUUGGCAACAUCAAAGUUCUCGAUGUUUCUCUUGUGUUCUAAGCGUUCCAAAUUGGCGUAAAAGGGAAAUUUAAGAACAUAAUCUGCCUGAAAAUAUAAAAUAGAAUUAGUUUCAACUCUCAAUCAGACAACUAAAAUUUUUUUUUCCCCAAAAAACAUAUUAAGACUAUCAAAUACCUACCUCUUGGGAGAUAACUCGGGAAGAAUGUUUUGAAUUAGAAGAUACUUCCUCUUUUAGGAAACUACUGGACCAGGAACCCAGUUUAUCUAAGACUUGUUCACAGUCCAGGAUUUUAAUCUGUGAUGCCUUGUGAAAUUCUAGAACAGUUUUCAUAUCUUUCAGAUAUCCUUGCACGGAAUUAUGGAAAUUAUGCCCAUCUGCACAAUCGUCAGCAAUAGAUUAAAAACCCAUGGGCAUAAAAUACAUAUGUUGAUAACCAAGAUUCAGAAAGCUAGUUCCUUCGGGGCCCGAAUUACCUGAAGAAACAUCAUAUCCGUUCAUACGCAAAAGACGAAAUGCCAUAGCACACGCCGUCAUAUCUGAACUAAGUUCCUCAUCGUUCUCCAACCAGCAUCUGCAUAUUUAGAUGACGGCAGCUUGUAAAAUCUAGAGAUAUUGCACACAUCUCAACUUAAGGGUAUUUUUGUAAGGAACUCCACUCUAAAUGGGGUGUAUAAAAAUUAAGAUUAUAACAAGGGGUACGUAUGUGUAAACAGAUCAUUUUGCAGAAAUACCUCUAUAUAUAUUUCUAAAACUGCAAUUCAUAUUUAGAAGCUAUUUCUAGCGUAAUACCUGUAUAUUCUGUCCAAGAUGGUCUUUAUCUCAUAAGCAAACAGCCGAGAAAUUCCCAACUUUUCAAGAGUGUCGACCAUGCAAAGCUGCGUAUGCAUCUCAAACGGAUAAACGGUAGGAACUGCAGAAAGGAAAAUGAUAUUAGAAAUACCGUAGCAUUUCCACAUAUGCGACAGACAAAAUUUAUCGAUUAGAGAGUAGAAUCGAAUCCACCUGAGCUGCCAAACCGCCGUAAAAUAGCAUGCAGGUAGUCAAGAGCUUUAACAUCAUAACGAUGGGUCAAUGCGACAGCUGUUGUUGCAGGUGAAUUGAACAACGAUCCGUUCUUCCUCUGAUACUUCAUAACCUCAUUCCAGUCCUGCAAAUUCCCUAAUCCUUCGGAUACAUACGCCAUGUACGCUUUUCGUCCCUCGGAAUUGUUUGCAGAAUCCCUAAAAAAUCAAUAAUACCGAUCACAACAUAAAUGCCAUUUACAAAAAAAUGUGCAUCCUGAGUGAAAUUAAUGAUAUAAGAUUCUGUUAAAUAUAAAAAUGUUUAAAUACCGUUCUCUAAUAGCUUAAGUUCUUAGAGUAUAACGGUUGUUUCACAGAUUCAAACAAAAUUUACAUUGGAAUAACCAGGGAGCCUGACCUUUUCAAUUCUAAAUCUCGAAGGCAAAGAAUAUCCUGAAUAGCAUGCUGUCUUAUGGGAAUAUCUAAACCCAAAUCGAUUGCACGUUCAAGCAUGCCAGGGAAAAUGAUAUUGAAGCCGACAGGAGACUGAUAAUUCUCAUCCAUAAUACAUGACAAAUUAGAUCCAAUAUAAUGUAGCCCUGCAAUAAGUCGAAAAAAAAUGAAGCUUCUUAAUCCAUUGAGCAAAACACAAUGUUAAUGAGUAAAUGUUCUGUUUCCUAAUACCUCUUCUUACGUGCUCUUCACCGACAUUCCAUCGCUUGAGCGCGAGUACACUUGCCAAUGUGGAAGAUAGAGCAUCUUUAAUCAAAGAGGGAUGGAUAUGGUCAAGUCCCCAGGAUCCAUUAGAAUUUUGAUUUUGUAACAUCCAAUCGACGCACUGAGGGAAGCACGGAGUUUGAGGAGAUCCAGGAGAAGGGACCAUGGCAACCCAUGCCGUGUCAUAUGAAGAAACUGAAUAUUCGACCUUACUUAGCUGCUCCCUUAUUCGUUUCUCCGAUUCCCUGGAACACUACAGCCACGUCUAAUAAGAUGCUUAAUUCAACCACAAAUUUAUUGUAUGGAGAUUUCAAAAUAACAUGGGAUCAAUAAAUCUAAUACCGUUACUGAGAGGUUCGCGCUGCUUUCUUCUUUCCCAUCAUCCCAAUUUGCUGUAUAUGAAAACGAAGCAUUCGGCAAUCAGCAAAAGAGAAAUAAAUGUAACACCAGAGCAAGUGAAAUAUGCAAAUGUCUUUUCGUAAUUAUUCCAACCAACCUAAUUAGAAGUUGUCAUGAUAUAACUAGAUCUAACACAUGCUGCAAUUUGAAGAUAAUCUCAUAUUUGGCAUUUAACAUAUUCUCCUUAAAAAAAAAAUACACAACUUUAAGGUAUCGUUUGGUUCGGGGAUAAGCAAAAAAUGGCUAUUCCAGGGAUAGGUAUAAAUUGAGGUAUAAGCGGGGAUUAGAUCAAUUUUGCGUUUGGAUGAAAAUUGGGUAAUUGCUGUGAAUAAAAGAAAUAGCGUUUGGUUAGGUAAAAUAGAAUAAGAAGGAUAGUGGGUUUUAUAAAUAAAAAGUAAUGAUAUUAUCCUCUUAUUAUAUUUGAAUUUGAAUUUUUAAAAUUUUAAAUUUAUAUUUUUAAAUUUAAAAUUUUAAAUUUUAAAAUUUGAGAAAUUUGAAAUUUAAAAUAACAAUUUUAAAUUUUAAAUUUCAAACUUUAAAUUUAAGAUCAAAUUUAAAUUUGAAAAAUAUAAAAAUAAAUUUUAAAUUUCAAAAAUAAAAUAUCAAAAUUUCAAUAUUAAAAUUUAAAAUUUAAAUUUAAAAUUAUAAACUUUAAUUUGAGAUUAUAAAUUAUAAAUUUUAAAAUUUAAUUUUUUUUUUUAAAAUUUUAAAUAAGAAUAAGGGUGGGAACUUAAUUAAUAAAUAAUUUACUAUAAUAAAUUUAUAAAUUUUUUAAAAUUCUAAUCAAACUUAAUUUAUAAAGGAAUUAUUAUAAUUUUAUUAUAAUAUUUAAAUAUAAAUAAUAUGUAUUAAUAUAGUACAAUUAAUAAUUUUAUAAUAAAAAUAAUGUAUUAUAUAUAUAACAUAGUGAUAAUUGCCUAUAUACCCUUCAUGCGUUCGGAAAUAUCGAUCUACCCCUACUCUUUUUUUUCUUUCUAAAAUUGUCCUCAUACGUUCCACCGUUAUUCCAAAAUACCCCCGCAGUUUAUCCCCUGUUAGCUUAACUCGGGUUAAACAUGGGUUAAUACUAUAUAGAGUUAAAACCUGACAAAAUACUAUAUUUGCCCCUACUUUAUUAUAGUAAUCCCUAAAGAUGUAUCCUCUUUCUUCCCAAUUUUGUCGCCACCACGGCCGCGCUCCUCCGCCUCUACUCACCUCCUCGCCUCAUCUCCUCCCAAACCACCACACUCCCACACCUCCACUCCAACACACCCAUCUCGUCGUCUCGUUGUCCUCCUCCGCCGCCGCUCUCGUCGUCGCCGUCGUCCUCUUCCUCCGCCGCCUUGGCCGGCGCCGGGAGCAAGAGGGCCGCAGCGACGAUCCCAUCUCUCGCCGCUCUCGUCGUCCUUCUCCUCAUCCGCUGCCUUGGCCGGCGCCAGGAGCAAGAGGGCCGCAGCUCCAUCGGACCCCUGCACGCCUUCUGCUCCGGAUCCGGCUGAAGGGUAAAUAAGAAAAGUAUUUGCUAUAUGAAGGGUAUAUAAGAAAAGUUUGUUACGGUACAAGGGUAUAUUGGAAUGGGCAAAAUGGUAAUUUUUCAGAGCUAACGGCAGCUCACUAACGGAACUUAACUCUAGGGGUAUUUUAGAAAAACUUGGAACAUAAGAAGGGUAUUUUCAAUAUUAGCCUUCUAAGAGGGGUAAAUAAGAAAACGGAGAACUUUUCAGGGGUAUAUAGGCAAUUGCCCCUAUAACAUAUUAUAUUUAUAUAAUUUAGUUUGCUUAAUUUAUAAUUUUAAUUAAGUUUGAAAUUAAGCAUUGGAAUAGCACUAUUCCACCAAAAUGGUGGAAUAGCAUAUUCCUUGCUAUUCCGGAAUAACUGGGAAUAGCAAGAUUUGACCGGAAUAAAAUAUUCCGGCCAUAUUUCAUCCCGUUUGGUGGAAUAGCGGGGAUGUUAUCCCCGCUUAUCCUCCGAACCAAACGGGGCCUAAUUGUCUUAUUGAGACAAAUGUAAAUAAUAUAAUUUAAUGCCACAUUUACUUGUAUAAUAGCAACGGUUGAAUAUCAAUAUUAAAAGCACCAUAUUCUCUUACAGAAGUAUUUCAUAAUCACAACGAUGGAAAAGCAGUGUUAGUAUAUUUCAAAAAAACUAUACAUGAGAUGCAGAACAGAACGCAUCACAUAUCCUUUCAUACACAAAAAAAUUUAACUUAAAAAAUGGUUCUACCUGACGAAACUCGCGGAAGAGAUGCUCUAACUGUUUUUUUAGCUCUAACUCUAGAAAUUUGAAUAUCUGAAGAUCGGAUGCAGCACAGGGGAAAUGAGAGAGCAUUUAACGACAUGGCCACUCAGGUUUAUGUGAAAUUAAUGGUGAUCUGCGACGAGAUAGCAGCAAACUAAGAGGCAUCAAAAAAUGAUUAAGAAUUUUCGAGAAAAAUACUGCAGGAAAAAAGAAAGCAUAGCUAGAAGAAAGAAUCCAACCAAUUAAGUAAACGAAAAUUAAAGUAACUCAAUUAAGGAUAGACUAAUCAAAGUAAAUCAAACUAAUUAAUGCGUCGAUAAUAAAAGGUGACAAAAAUGUACAUGAACCCUCUCGUUGUCCAUUUUACUUGUCGUUAGCAUUCCUUCGGUUUUUACUUCUUAAUUUCCAUUGAAGUUUUUUCUGUAAACCGGUUGAUUCAAGUUUUGUAUAAUGUUUUAGAAAUAUUGUAUAUUUUAUUACUUUGUAUUUAAAAUGACAAAUUCGUAACUAACGUAUCAAGUCACUUGGUUACGUGUCAACGACCCGUAGAUAAUAGAGCUAUUAAUUUUUACAGAACCCCAAUAUAAAUAGAUAGAAUGAUUCAAAUAAAAAAAAAAAAUUAAAAGUUGAGAGGUUUCGAUAAUUAGAAAAGAAAAAGUAAAACUAAAAUUUGCAUGUUCUAAAAGCUCUAUACAUGCGUCCAUGGCCAAGGAGAGAGAGAGAGAGAGAGAGAGAGAGAGAGAGAGAGAGGUUGCGGCGCUACCUGUUUAAUUUGUGUUCACUACCAAAGAGUAAACGGAGUGGCGAAGAAGAGAGCCUGAGGGGUAAAUAAAACAAGGUGGGGUGUGUAUAUAUACAGUGUACUAUCAGUAGCACGGAGCGCUCCGUUAUGUUCGCUUAAAUGGGCCAGCAUCCUGCCUUGUGGCAGGAGGUCAUGUGGGCCCGAGUCAUGUUCGAAAUGGCAUGAGGCUAGGUGGGCCGAGUCAUGUUCGAAGUGGCGUGAGGCUAGGUGGGCCGAGUCACAAUCGAGACCCGUGGGCGCUGUUUCUGUACGCUUUAAGUGAAUUGGUUGCGUAUUUCUAACAGCUCGAGCUUUUGGGAUUAAUGGUUAGCGUCAACAAUCCGACAAGUUGUAUCAGAGCCAGAGCUCACAGAUUUAAUUCCUGCAUGCUGCAAAUGUGCGCAGGUGCUGGAGGGGGGAUUGUUGGCUUAAAUGGGCCAGCAUCCUACCCUGUGGCAGGAGGCCAUAUGGGCCGAGUCAUGUUCGAAAUCGCGUGAGGCUGGGUUGGGCCGAGUCAUGUUCGAAGUGGCGUGAGGCCAGGUGGGCCGAGUCACAAUCGAGACCCGUGGGCGCUGUUUCUGUACGCUUUAAGUGAAUUGGUUGCGUAUUUCUAACAGCUCGAGUUUUUGGGAUUAAUGGUUAGCGUCAACAAUCCGACAAGUUGUAUCAGAGCCAGAGCUCACAGAUUUAAUUCCUGCAUGCUGCAAAUGUGCGCAGGUGCUGGAGGGGGGAUUGUUGGCUUAAAUGGGCCAGCAUCCUACCCUGUGGCAGGAGGCCAUAUGGGCCGAGUCAUGUUCGAAAUGGCGUGAGGCUGGGUUGGGCCGAGCCAUGCUCAAAGUGGCGUAAGGCCAGGUGGGCUGAGUCACAAUCGAGAUCCGUGGGCACUGUUUCUGUACGCUUUAAGUGAAUUGGUUGCGUAUUUCUAACAGCUCGAGUUUUUGGGAUUAAUGGUUAGCGUCAACAAUCCGACAAGUUGUAUCAGAGCCAGAGCUCACAGAUUUAAUUCCUGCAUGCUGCAAAUGUGCGCAGGUGCUGGAGGGGGGAUUGUUGGCUUAAAUGGGCCAGCAUCCUACCCUGUGGCGGGAGGCCAUAUGGGCCGAGUCAUGUUCGAAAUCGCGUGAGGCUGGAUUGGGCCGAGUCAUGUUCGAAGUGGCGUGAGGCCAGGUGGGCCGAGUUACAAUCGAGACCCGUGGGCACUGUUUCUGUACGCUUUAAGUGAAUUGGUUGCGUAUUUCUAACAACUCGAGCUUUUGGGAUUAAUGGUUCGCGCCAACGAUCCGACACGUUAUACUUGAUCUAUACUAUUAAAAGUAUUUAGAAACUAAAUAAUUUUUCGAUACCAUUUGAAAUACCUAUCAAACAAGUAGUCUAAAAUUGAACGGCUGAAAAUAAAAAUCUCAUAAAAAAUGAUGAUAAAAGAUUUAAAUUCAAGAUCAGAUAUACUGAUCUUACUCUAAAUAGUGAAAAGAAUUUUUCAUAAAAUUUUCAUCAGAUUUGAAUUGUUUUACACCGUUAAACUCUCAAACACACCACAUCGGCCAUUAAAAUUGUCAAUUUUGUGAUCUUUUGAUCACUAGUCAAAUGAUGUCGAAAAAAAUCUGAAAUUUAGUUUUCAAAUACUUUCAAUAGUGUAGAUCAGGUUUAACGUAAUCGAUCGUCGAUUUGAAAGUCGCAUCAUCAAAAACAACUUGGUAGUACGGAGCGCUCCGUGCUACCGACAGUGUAGUAGCCGGACUUAUAUAUAUAUAUUAUUAUUAUUAUUAUUAUUAUGUAUAUAAUGAUGGGAUUGGAUUUGACUUCGACUUUGCCUUUAGAAAGAGAUUUAGUGAGUAUCCAAGUAGAAUUGGAUUUAGUCUAAAAAAUAAAAAAAUUCGAUGAAAAAAAUAAGAAUUUUUUUAAAAAAACGGUGCGAUGAAAAAGAAAAGUUUUUUUGUUUUACCCGCUACUAUUUAUGUAAUUUAUUAUCUUUUUUUUAUUUUUAUUAUUUUGUUUUGUGCAUUCUCUUGUCUACCUUCCACUAUUGUGAGUCCACACCACGUGCACUCACAUAUUUUUAGGGUUAAUUACAUAUAGUUUUUAAUAAAUUAUCGAAUAUAUUACUACAAAAUUUAAUUUUUUAUAUUUAUUCUUGUAAAAAUUCGGUGAUAUUUAUAUUCCCAUCUGGUUUGUUACCGUUAGAGAUUGUUUAUUUUUUAAUAGCAGAUAGGUGAAAUAAUAUUUUUGCUCUUACAAAUAUAUUUUUUCAAAAGCCCAAGUAUUAAAAUUAUGCAGAAAUAUCCUUUCAAAAAAAUAUUUUACUUAAUAAUAUAAGAUGAGUAAAAAAAUCAAUUUAACUCAUUCACUAAUCAGAGUUAAGUAUUUCACUUAUGGUUAAUUAUAUUUUUCCCACGGAUUCUAGCAGUAGAGAUAUAUUUAAAAAUAGUAGUACUUUUGCAGAAAUAAAAAUAAAAUGUUAAACUUUGUAGAAAUAUAUUGCUAUUCAAUAUGUUCACAUAAAAUUAUAUGGAAUUAACCUUGUUUUUUAUUAGCCCUACUUUGACAUCAGCUCGCCCCAAAGUCCCUAGAAGUUAAAAGUCUAUUUGUUUGGGUAAAAAUGGAGAGGGGUGAAAUCGUUUUCCACUAUAAGCAAUCACUUUCGCUGUUUGUUUCGUCGUAAUAAAGAUACGAUCGAAACUCAAGUUGUCCGUAACAGACCGAAGUCAAUUACGGUGAGAAAAGAUGAACAGAAAAAUAAUAAAAUAAUACAAUGAAUAAUGCUAGUUAUAUUUAAAUAUAUUUAAUUAUGAGACUAAUUAUUUUUUUAUUUAGUUUGUAUAUUUAAAAUAUGAUAAAAUUUGAUUAGUUAAGUUUUAAUAUUUUCUUCAUUUAGUUUGUAAUUUAAAAUAUGAUGAGAAUUUAUUAGAUAAGUAUUUAUAUACUAUUUUACUUUAUUCUAUUGUUAUAUUAUUAUUAUAAUUUAUGUAUAAAAAGUAAUUUAGUUGUUUUAAAUUAAAUUUUUUAAUUAUAUAGAAAUAUAAUUAUAUUGUUUUAUUUAUUAUAUUAUAAUUUAUUAUUUAUUAAGUUAUUUAUUAUUUAUACAUAAAUUAUAAUUUUAGAUCACUCACUUUUUGUCAAACAUACAGCAGAACUAAAAAAAACUUACUUUCAUAACUAUGAAACAGCAGGAGAUAAGUAGUUUUUACCGAACUCCACUUCAAUCCAAAAUCUACUUCAGCCCAAAUUCUAAUUUCAGUGAAACAAACAUACCCUAGUGUAUUUAAGGUUGCAAUUGGUGGAACCCAAAGUGGACAAUGGAAAGUUGGGAUUUAUGAAUUAUUAUAGGGCUUUUUUUGCUUUUAACCAUCUCAGAAAAAAAAAAAUUUCCACAAAUAACCUCAUAAAAAUUAUAUUUACAAGAUUAACCUUAUCCUCGCCACACGAGCGCGACGUGUGUUAGGUUGGUUAAGUUGAACACAGUAAAUCAUUCAUCGUGUUUGGACACGACGAAUGAUUCAUCGUAUCUUUUUCACAUUUUACUUAUACCGUGUUCUUUUCACAUUCACCAUUUUUAUUGUAUUAUAAAUUAAAUUGAACACAGUAAAUCAUUCAUCGUGUUUGGAUAUAGUGAAUGGUCCGUCGUGUUCAACUUAAAUUCUGGAUUGUUAGUCACGCUCAUGUGUUGCUUGCGUGGUAGGGAUAAGGCCAAUUGUGCAAAUAUAAAUUUUAUGAUGCUAUUUACGAAAUUUUUUUGAGAGGCUAAAAGCAAAAAAAAAAAGGCCCAUUAUUAUAUUAUUUAUUUGAUGACUUUUUAACCCUUAUUAAAUGUAGUGGUGCUAGAUCUAUGCUGUGUACAAGUAGCGUUUUUCUUUCCCAAGUCCCUAGCUCCGAGAUCUAAACAUAAUCUUUUUCAUUUUAACUGGAGACUUUUGGACAUGAAAAAUACUAGGUAUUACUUACAAUAUUAUUUAAGUAAAAUCAUACACAACAUACUUGAACAUCGGACAAUUUUAAUUUAGCUAUCUAAUUUUUUAAAAUUUUAAUUUUAUUAUUCAAUCUUUCGAUUUGUUUGAUUUGGGCUAGGCAACAACACUUUAAUUUUAGAAUAUGAUUGUGUUAUUUAUCUUUACAAUUUUAGUUAGUAUCCUUCAAACAAUUCUCGCAACUAUAAAUUCGAUAAAUUAAGUUAUUAGCUUAAAUUUUGAAGUAAAAAAUAUCAUUGGCCAGUUCAAAUCAAACAAAUUAAAAUGUUGGAUAGUAAAAUCAAAAUUUCGAAAUGUUGAACAACCGAUUCAAAAUAGUUUAUAAUUCAGAUAUAUUCUAUACGUUUUUACCUAUUAUUUAUUGUAAAUUUCUUGUAAUAUUUUUAAACUGCUUGUCGCCAUGCUUGAGCAAAUCAAAAUUUCAUACACCCAACGGAAUCCCAGCCUUGAUUUGUAGCUGGUAGGAAAGCAGCCAAAUCCGUCCCUCAAUUGCAUCUCCCAGUACUUACUUUUUGAAAGAAAAAUAGCAUGCUAUCUAUAACGUCCCAACUUUUCAAGGAGCUAUUCAUUCUAGAACUAUUCUAGUCCUAACACGCUUAAUUUUUUUAAUCUCUUAGGCUUAUCCACCGUACAAAAUGUUAUAGUCGGGUCAAGAGUUUUAGUUUUAUUAUAUCUUAUAUAUAGAACUAUCUGAGAUUUUAUACUAUUUGUUUCGUGUUUUUUAAGAAACAAAUUUAGUUGAAAAUAUGAAUUAGCUAGGCUUCGAACUUUGAAUCUCGGAUACCCCAUCAUCAAGCCCUUUGCCUUUUGUACUAGGCACGGUCGGCCAUCUUACAGUGCUUGACCUGACAGUUGUAAAGAAGAACUCCUAUAAAUAUGUAAACCAAAGUGUAGCUUCCCCAGUACAUUAGAAAAAUGUAAGAGAAAUAAUAUUUGUACAUCCCAAAAAACAGUACAGACAUAAACAUUUCUCAUUCUUAAAUUCAUAAAACCUUUUGAAUUUUUGAUAUUAAAAAAAAAAGUCAAAAUAUAAUGUGAAACAGCUACAGUAUAAAUCAGUUACUGUCGAAAGGUUGCAUUGAGUACCCAAAAGUCUAAAAUCAUCUUCUACGGUGUCUGUUGAAGGUCCUUAAUUUCUUUGGAAUCCUUGUCUUCAUUUCUAUUAAUGUUUAUUUUGAAAAUAUGAUUGAAACCUUUUUUUUCUAAGAAAUUUUUUCAUGGUACAAAAUUUGCCACAUAGCUAGAUUAUCUAAUUCAAAGGUUUAAAUUUUACAUGCAUCCCAAUCAGGCGUGUCCUCCGCGCUAUUUCUUUUUCGUAGAAGUAUUGUUACUGCUAUCAAUCCAAGUCAAACUGCUGGUACCGGUCAAUGCAUCCUACUAUUUGUAAGUACAUAAUUUUUUUUUUUUUUUGAGAAUCGGUAGCACGCUACCUACUUCAUUCAUUGAAUAAGUGAAUUAGGCUACAGAGGUGGGGCAACCAGGGCCCCAAAUAGAGAAAAAAAAAAAAAUCAUAGAUUGUCUUUCCAAGAAUCAAUCAAGUACUUGAGCCUACGCGCCGCUAAUAUGGGGUCAAACUGAAUGUCAUGAAAGAUAAAGUUGUUCCUCGCCUUCCAAAUGGUCCACCAGCAUGCGGCCAAUUCAGAUAGACCGUCCCUUCUACUUUGUAAGUACAUAAAUUAUAGAUAAUUUUUCAUGGUGCAACCUUGUAGAGGUGAGCAAAUCAACCAUAAAUGGUGUGUUCAUAACAUCAGAGUGGGUAGCAUGCUAUCUUUUUCUCACAAAAAAAAAAAAAAAAAAAAAAAAAAGGAAAAAAAAAAAAAAAAAACAUCAGAGUGGUGCUUUUGUUUGAAACUAGAGUUCCGCUCAAAUGAAAGAUCUCCAACAAAAAGAAAUUUUGAAACUAUAUUUUAACAGUUCAUUGUUUUCUUAAACAUACCUAAAUCGAUCGUGAUCUGAAUGGUGAAAGAGCACGCAAAGUUUUUCAUAAUUUGCGUGCAACAACCGCUGGUUAAUUUACGAGAUUGGCUAAAUAAGGUGAGAAUGAAAUUGUUUUAUUAGAGUCGCUUAAUUUAAUACUGCUUUUUAAUUUCUCCUAGCAUAAUUUUUUUGGGGAUGGAUUACGCCCAAGACAUAGAAUAAUUAUUCAAUGAGAGGAAAUUAAAUAAAGGUAGGAGCUCUACCAAGACCCAAGCUUAAAAUUUCAUGCUCUGAUAUAAAAGUGAGGCUGGUAUGCUUAUGGAGGCACACGGAGCCUUCCGUGCUUUCAAGUCGUUUUCGAUGUUAGGACUUUCGAAUCAACAAUCGGCUCUAUUAGACUUAAUCUAUAGUAUUUGAAAUAUUUAGAAAAAUAAAUUUCACAAUUUCUUGAUAUUAUUUACCUAGUAAUCGAAAGAGUUCAAAAUCAAUGGCUGAAAAUAAAAAUAUUACAAAAUAUGAUGAUAUGACAUUAACAUUUUAGAUUAAAGAUAAUGAUAUUAUUUUAUAUAGUAUGAAGAAUUUUUUAUCAAAAUUUUGCGUGAUUUGAAUAUUUUUACACAGUUAAACUUGCAAACGGCUCACCGCGAUUAUUAAAAUUAUUGAUUUUUGACCCCUUCGAUCACUAUGCAAAUGAUAUUGAAAAAUUAUGAAUUUAUUUUCUAGCUACUUCAAAUACUUUAGAUGAGGCCUAACGGAGCUGAUCGUCAAUUUGAAUGUCCCAACAUCGAAAAUGACUUGGAAACACGAAGCUCCGUGCUUCCGGACGUAUACCGGCCUCACUCCAGAUAUAAUAUCAAAAAUAUAUAAAAUAAUUAUUUUUUCUAAAAAUUUAAUAUAUUAAAAAGUGAUAUCUUCUGUUUUUUUUUUAUAUUCAAAAGAUAUUAGGAAAACAGUCGUAGAGGGACAAAGGUGCAUGUUAUUUAAUUAAGCAGUCAACCUACUUAAUUAUGCUUCGAUUUUCUAAGGGGUGUAUUUUUUAUUUUUUUAUUUUUUUUGAGAGAUAGAUAGCACGCUAUCCGCUUAUUUUAUUUUAGAAAGAAAUUUAACUGAAAAUAUGAAUCAACUAGGAUUCGAACUUGGGUCUCGGGUACCAACCACCAAGCCCUUUACCACUUGUUCUAUGAACGGUCGGUCUAAGGGGUGUAUAUUAAUUGUUUGGUGCAUUACUAUAUGCAUUUUAAUAUUUUCCAAACCUAACUUUUCUUAUCCACCUGCCAAAUUGGAGCUUGAUUACAUGCUAGAUAUUAUGAAUGUAUCAUCAAGCAUCAAAUUAUGAGCUUUACUUUAAAAAAGCUCCACAUCUCAUUACUGGGUUGCAGAGGAUAUAUAUAUAUAUAGUCCAGUUGGAAUAAUGACACUAUAUUACUGGAGCCCGAUAAUAUAGAUAGUAUAGAAGUCAUAAUAAUAUAUACUCUAUUUUAUAAAUAUAAGUAAGAACAUAUCAAUCGUACCUGCAGCAAAGUGCGGAUGAAUUGCUAGUUCGAUUCUAAACAACAAAAUAUACAUUCAUUCAGUUCCUGUUAGGAACAACAAAUAUACAUGGAUUCAGGUUCAAGUUAGGAAUUUGUAUUUGUAUUUUCGCCGGGAAUAGCUGACAAAAGAUGGCUGAUUUUGAGUGGUUCAUGAAUAACUGCGUUUACAGCACUCACCAUUUCCUUUGCAGAUGUAAAUCCAUCAGUGUUCAUGUAGAAUAGGUGAAGUAUUCUGCACAUCUUCCAAAAUAAGUCCUUGCAACUUCGAGGAAUUACAGAUCCCUCCUUCAGCACCAGCCUUAGCAAUUCUCUCCGAGAAGUUUCGACAGAUCUCUUGAGCUCCCUUUGAGCCUCUUCUACAGAGAUGGAAGAGUCGCUAUGAACAACGCGGAGCGAGAUGCUGUUCAACUUUCCUUCUUUACAUUCUCUCUGCACCAAUUUAAAGUAAUUAGUGUCCAAAUGAUAAUGAUCAAAGACCACGAUGAGCUUGAAGAGAAUGUGGGGGAACAAAAUUAAGGCUUUACAAGGACAGGAAUUCGCCUCGUCCAAUCUAUUUGUGCUACUAAAUAUUGCACUUCCUCCAAUCUAUUUCUGCUACUAAAUUUUGCACUUACUGCUUGUAUUACCUCGUAACCUUGCACGUCGUUUAGAAGACGGCCGCAUGUGCUCACAAGUCUGAACAAUUCAUGGUACUCUGGAUCUGCGAUCGCCUCUUCGGAGAGCUUUGGACCAACAAUGUAGAGUAACGAGAGAACGGUAGGGCCCAAAGCAAGGGAAAAAAUUCCAUUUUCCAUGUACUGCUCCGUCGUGGGUACCGUUUUCUUCCUCAGCCACUCUGCUUCGUUCAUCAUGGACCUCAUCAUACUAAGCCACUGUUGUUAAUUUGCAUUGCUAUGUGUCAAAAUCUUUUUAGAAUAAAUUGUUCGGUUUUCAUAUAAUCUAAUUCAUGGGGGAAGUUGGUUUUCUGUUUACAAAAGGAUUUUCUGAAGAGAAGCAUCUUUGCGAGUGUUGUAUAUGUAAGAAGUCGUGUUUUGGAAUGGUGUUUUCGUAUUUUGCAGGAAUGUGUAGGCGAUUUUGCAGUGGUAUAUAUGUAAAUGUCUGAAUUCAGUAAGCUGUUAGAUCUCACUAUUUCUACUAGAUGGCCGGUGACGCUACGAUUUUGUACUGCUGAUGCCUUAGCUCCAAGCUCGUUGAUUGUGCUGUGAAGCGCAGAAAAUAUAAUCUCCACGUGCUCAGAGCAAAACUCUUUUUCGUGAUUUCCAUCCCAUCUGUCACAAGUACAAACGUGCUUAAAGAAAAUAAUGUUGUAAAAUAAUCUCAGAAAAAUUGCGGAUCACAAAUAUAAGCAAGGACGAUCGUACUUCUCAACUAAACUGAUGAGGUUUUUUAAUUCUUCGAUUGAUCCACCUACGUCGAAGAAGUCGUCAACCACAGUGGUGAGCAGACUAUUUUUGGCCCAUAAAAUGCGACCAUCGGUUAAUUCGGGAGAACAUAGAGUAGCAGCAGCAGAGAGGUAACAGUAUGUUAUUUUAUCCCGAGCAAAUCCUAGCUGAUCCAACCGGUUUUCUCUGACCCAGCUGUUAAAAUCACAAAUUUAGAUUAGGAAAGCACAAUGCUGGCGUUAAAUGUAAUAAAAAUAAGGAACUUGCUUUUGCAUGUGCAGUCAACAAAAGCAUAUUUCUGAUAGUGGAAGGGCGUAUAGACACAUAUUGGAUAUUCAAAGGACAUUGGCAACAAUUUCAACUUAAGAAGGGUCUGCGAGCAAACGAGUAUAUUUUGAGAGAUAUUUAUGCAACAAAAUAACCUUAAAAGGAGAAUCCAUAAGAUGGACAGACCUCUGAAGAUGUUGAAGUUCUUUCCGGUAUAUAGACUGACAGCUACUGAAAUCUUCAACAGCCAAUUUAAGAAGAUCAUCAGAAGUCCAGAAAGACCUGAUUCAGUUCAGAAGCAGAAAUUACUGGCAGAAAUCCAAAAAUCAGAAAAAAAACGUUUUUAUCCUAUUUAUGAUUAAAUUCUUACUUAUAUGAUGUUUUGAGAAUCUGAUAAUUGGCAACAUCGAAGUGCUCAAUGUUUCUCUUGUGUUCUAAGCGUUCCAAAUUGGCGUAAAAGGGAAAUUUAAGAACAUAAUCUGCCUGAAAAUAUAAAAUAGAAUUAGUUUCAACUCUCAAUCAGACAACUAGAAUUUUUUUCCCCCAAAAAAACAUAUUAAGACUAUCAAAUACCUACCUCUUGGGAGAUAACUCGGGAAGAAUGUUUUGAAUUAGAAGAUACUUCCUCUUUUAGGAAACUACUGGACCAGGAACCCAGUUUAUCUAAGACUUGUUCACAGUCCAGGAUUUUAAUCUGUGAUGCCUUGUGAAAUUCUAGAACAGUUUUCAUAUCUUUCAGAUAUCCUUGCAUGGAAUUAUGGAAAUUGUGUGCUUCAGCAUAGUGAGAUAGCCUAUCUGCACCAUCGUCAGCAAUAGAUUAAAAACUCAUCGGCGUAAAAUACAUGUGUAGAUAACCAAGAUUCCGAAAGCUAGUUCCAUCUGGGCCCAAACUACCUGAGGAAACAUCAUAUCCGUUCAUACGCAAAAGACAAAAUGCCAUAGCACAUGCAGCCAUAUCCAAACUAAGUUCCUCAUCGUUCUCCAACCAGCAUCUGCAUAUUAGAUGGCGACAGCGGGUAAAAAUCUUGAGAUACUGCACAUAUCUCAACUUAAGGAUAUUUUUGUAAGGAACUCCACUCUAAAUGGGGUGUAUGAAAAUUAAGAUUAUAACAAGGGGUACGUAUGUGUAAAAAGAUCAUUUUGCAGAAAUACCUCUAUAUAUAUUUCUAAAACUGCAAUUCAUAUUUAGAAGCUAUUUCUAGCGUAAUACCUGUAUAUUCUGUCCAAGAUGGUCUUUAUCUCAUAAGCAAACAGCCGAGAAAUUCCCAACUUUUCAAGAGUGUCGACCAUGCAAAGCUGCGUAUGCAUCUCAAACGGAUAAACGGUAGGAACUGCAGAAAGGAAAAUGAUAUUAGAAAUACCGUAGCAUUUCCACAUAUGCGACGGACAAAAUUUAUCGAUUAGAGAGUAGACUCGAAUCCACCUGAACUGCCAAACCGCCGUAAAAUAGCAUGCAGGUAGUCAAGAGCUUUAACAUCAUAACGAUGGGUCAAUGCAACAGCUGUUGUUGCAGGUGAAUUGAACAACGAUCCGUUCUUCCUCUGAUACUUCAUAACCUCAUUCCAGUCCUGCAAAUUCCCUAAUCCUUCGGAUACAUACGCCAUGUACGCUUUUCGUCCCUCGGAAUUGUUUGCAGAAUCCCUAAAAAAUCAAUAAUACCGAUCACAACAUAAAUGCCAUUUACAAAAAAAUGUGCAUCCUGAGUGAAAUUAAUGAUAUAAGAUUCUGUUAAAUAUAAAAAUGUUUAAAUACCGUUCUCUAAUAGCUUAAGUUCUUAGAGUAUAACGGUUGUUUCACAGAUUCAAACAAAAUUUACAUUGGAAUAACCAGGGAGCCUGACCUUUUCAAUUCUAAAUCUCGAAGGCAAAGAAUAUCCUGAAUAGCAUGCUGUCUUAUGGGAAUAUCUAAACCCAAAUCGAUUGCACGUUCAAGCAUGCCAGGGAAAAUGAUAUUGAAGCCAACAGGAGACUGAUAAUUCUCAUCCUUAAUACAUGACAAAUUAGAUCCAAUAUAACGUAGCCCUGCAAUUAGCCCAACAAAAAAAUGAAGCUUCUUAAUCCAUUGAGCAAAACGCAAUGUUAAUGAGUAAAUGUUCUGUUUCUUAUUACCUCGUCUUACAUGCUCUUCACCCACAUUCCAACGCUUGAGCGCGAGUACACAUGCCAAUGUGGAAGAUAGAGCAUCUUUCAUCAAAGAGGGAUGAAUAUGGUCAAGUCCCCAGGAUCCAUUAGAAUUUUGAUUUUGUAACAUCCAAUCGACGCACUGAGGGAAGCACGGAGUUUGAGGAGAUCCAGGAGAAGGGACCAUGGCUACCCAUGCCGUGUCAUACGAAGAAACUGAAUAUUCGACCUUACUUAGCUGCUCCCUUAUUCGUUUCUCCGAUUCCCUGGAACACUACAGCCACGUCUAAUAAGAUGCUUAAUUCGACCACAAUUUUAUCGUAUGGUUGUGUCGAAAUAACAUGGGAUCAAUAAAUCCAAUACCAUUACUGAAAGGUUCGCACUGUUUGCUACUUUCGCAUCAUCCAAAUUUGCUGUAUACAAAAACGAAGCAGUCGGCACUCCGCAAAAGAGAAAUAAAUGUAACACUAGAGCAAGUGAAAUAUGCAAAUGUCUUUUCAUGAUAAUCCCAACCAACCUAGUUAGAAGUUGUCGUGAUAUAACUAGAUCUAAUACAUGCUGCAAUUUGAAGAUAGUCCCAUAUUUGGCAUUUAACAUAUUCUUCUUAAAAAAAACAAUACACAUAACUUUAAUUGUCUUAUUGAGACAUAUGUAACCCCAAAUUUUCACAAAUGUUACAAGUAAGAAUCUUAGGGUGAUGGAGUGUUGGGGAAAGAACGGGUGGAAGUGGAGCAAAAUCCUGUCUGGUUUUUUGCCUACCUCUCAACAGGACAGACAACUAAUCCUGAAACUUAAAGAGUCGAUCGUCGAGACCCUGGUUCUUAAUGGAAAGGACGGAGUUAGGUGGAGAUGGGAUCGAUCCGACAUGUUCUCUAUGAAAUCCAUGUAUAAUUUUUUUCAGGACGGCGAAAUACAUGUCAGGCACUUUAACCACCUUUGGAGGAGUUGCUCCCCUCUGAAAGUUAAGAUUUUUGUGUGGCUAGCCUUAAAAAGAAAAGUAUCCAUAGUAAAUAACCUCUUAAAAAGGGGGUGGAGUGGUGAAGAAAGUUUUGUCUUUUUGUCACGUCCCAAUAGUCUCACAUCGGAUGGGGAUUCUAAUUUCGAUCGGUAUAUAUGAGACCUCGCACGCUAGUAAUAAUAACUAGACUUAAGCAUUUUGAGCUGAUGGAUUGAGCCCAACGAGUUAUUGUUGCUAGCGGGUCGGGUCGUUGCAAUUGGUAUCAGAGCCGAAUACCAGCCAGAAGUGUGAGAGCUAAGUGUUAUGCUGGACAAAGUGCUACACAAACGAAUUUGGUGGGAGCCACCUCUUGAACCCGUAGGAGCCACCUCUAGCCAAAGUACUAAAGCCCGGCCCACGACUUUGCUCCCAAAUAAACAGUACCUCCCUUACUGUUCGUCUAUCUGCCGGCUAUGGCACGAAAGCAGCCUUAAAGGCGGUGUGCUAGGAAGGAGGGAGGUGACGAUGGUUAUCACCACAUGGUAGGUCGCCUGGCUGGAAAGAAAUUGCCGUAUUUCGGUUUUUUUUUUCAGAGAGCAAUACGACAAUUUUUUUUUUUUUCGGACUCAGGUUGUCUCAUUAUAUAGCUGAGUUCACUCUCUAAAUGAAUGAAGUGCUAGCAUGUUAUUUUUUCUCAAAAAAAAAUGUAAAUAAUAUAAUUUAAUGCCACAUUUACUUGUAUAAUAGCAACAAUUGAAUAUCAAUAUUAAAAGCAUCAUACUCUCUUACACAAGUAUUUCGUAAUCACAACGAUAGGAAAGCUAAGUUAGCAUAUUUCAAGAAAACUAUACAUGAGAUGUAGAAUAGAACGCAUCACAUUUCCUUUCAUACACAAAAAAAUUUAACUUAAAAAAUUGUUCUACCUGACGAAACUCGCGGAAGAGAUGCUCGAACUGUUUUUUUAGCUCUAACUCUAGAAAUUUGAAUAUCCGUAGAUUGGAUGCAGCACAGGGGAAAUGAGAGAGCAUUUAACGACAUGGCCACUCAGGUUUAUGUGAAAUGGCGAUCUAGGAUGAGAUAGCAGCAAACUAAGAGGCAUCAAAUUAUGAUUAAGAAUUUUCGAGAAAAAUACUGCAAGGGAAAAGAAAGCAUAGCAGAAGAAAGAAUCUAACCAAUUAAGUAGAUAGAAUUUAAAAUAACUCAAUUAAGGAUAGAACAAUCAAAGUAAAUCAAACUAAUGCAUCGUUAUAAAAGGUGGCGAAACGGACUGUCCCUAGCGCAAGUUGCAAAAGGCUCGGUGGUUGAUACCCGAGGUCCCAAAUUCGAAUUAUAGUUAAUUCACAUUUCCAGCUAAAUUUAUUUCUAAAUAAUAUAAACAAAGCAAAUAACAUGCUACUUGUCUCUUUAAAAAAAAAAAAAAA